rnacentral:lncRNA from 1 species
AGGUGAGCACCGUGAUCAGCACUAACCAGCGGUCACCGUGCUCACCUCCGGAGGCAUCGGAACAGCCUCAGAUCGCCGGAAAAGCAUGCACAAACACAGAACAACAGCCAAAAAGGCUGAAACGGAGCGACAUCGCCGAAACAGCGAAACGGGGCCUUCCCGACAGAAACCAAGGUGAGCACGGUGAUCAGCGACUUGGUACAAUCACCGUGCUCCCUUUUUUAGAGAUCGGGAAGCCCCGGGAAGCUCGGAACAGUAGGCCAUCCCACAAAAGCCCCAUUUCGGGCUUGGCCGGAGCAAGCUUGCUCCGGCCGGCUUCCGGCGGCACGGCGGCGCGCGCGGAGGCCAGGGAUGGGUGCGGGGGAGGAGAGGAGUGAGGUGCUCACCUCAGACAGCGGCUGGAAGCGGCGGCGGCGGCGGAGGAACAAGACAAGCCCGCACGGCUAGGGCACGGGUUCCGCGGGCACCUGCGGCCACGGCGGCGGCCGGGGAGCUCCGAGACGGCGGAGGAGGAUUGCAGGAGGCCGGAGGGACGCCUCGGGUGCUGCCCCAAGCGGCGGCGGCGCAGGGGUGGAGUCGCACGCUCGCCUCGGCCCGAGCGGGUCUGGGGCGGCUGCGGGCUGGCCGAGGCGGCGGCGGCGGCACUCUGGGCGGCUCGGGGCGGCGGCGGCCGGCGGCCUGACGUCGGGAAGGUGUUACGGGAGUCGCCCAGGGCGGCGGCAAAGCGAGGAAGAGGCCGCACGGUCUGCUCGGCCAGGGCUCGGCCAAGUCGGCUGCAGGCUGCAGUGGCAGCAGCGGCGGCGCUCGGCGGGGAUGCUCGCCGGAGCACGGGGUGACCCUGGCGGAGGGUCUGAAGGUGGCGGUAGUCUCGGGCUUCCUCACAACCCGAGAGGAGAGAGAGAGAGAGAAAGAGAGGGAGAGGGGGAAGGAAGGUGGCUCCGGCGGCGGUUGGCCGGCCGGGGCUAAGUCGGCGGCGGCCUGGGCGUACGCAGCAGGUGCAGGGAAGUAGGGUGAAGGUGGCUGGGGGUGCGGCUAGGGCUAGGUUAGGGUUACAAGGCUCCAAACCCUAAAGAGCUAUAAAUACUAAGGUGCAACUUUGCAAAUAAGUCCACCAAACCUCAGUAUUUAUUACUGAGUCCUUCACAGCGCGUGUAAAACGCGCGGACACCCCUCCACGUGCGAUCCCACGAGAAACGGUACAUAAAAUAUCGCGACUUUUGCGAAAUUACCAUUUUGCCAUUACAGACCUCUCCUCGAUCAACACGCAAUCUCUGCAGAUCCGUCCGUCAGAUUUGCGAACGGAUUGCACCAGUGCGAUCAGCACGACGGAGACAACAAAGCUACCAUUUCGUUUCACCACGAUCGACCACGGAUUCGCGACCAAAUCCAAUCUUUCUUCCAAUAGAAGGAAUAACACAUAAAUACAUAUAAAACAUGUAUUUUUGGAUUUUCUCAAAAUCCGUGCGUCAAACUCAAAAUCUAUCAGCGCCAAUAGUUCCAAAACAGCUGAACCGAUCGAAACGAGCUAUUGGACCGCUAUGAACGAAGUUCGAUACGAGCCAGAAGCCAACUUCCCACCGUGGUUUCUCCGGAAAAUCGAGUUACUAUUCACUUUAAGUGAAACUUGGAAAUCGUGUAGAAUUUCCGUUUUAACUCAUUUUCGUCUGAAACUUGACGAGUGCUUUUGUAAUUAAAUUACACACUAAAAUAUCGUCAACUGAGAGUUUAGCUACACUGCAAAAGUCUCAGUCCUUACACAUUUCCUCUCUUUCCCUCUCUCUAAAAGCUUGGGCUAGGGCGUGGAGAAGAAGGAGAAAAGCUUGGAGAAAGUGGAUUUGGAGGCUUGGGUGGCUCUAGAAGCUCUCCAACAAGAAGGCUUGGGUGGAGCUUGGGCAAAGGUGAGUCCUUAUGCAAAAAUGAGUUUAGGGUUUGGUUUAGACCUUAGAUUUUUGGAUUUUGAUCUCUCUACAAGUGAGGAAACCCUCUAGAGACCUUGAAACCAUGAAAUCCAAGGUUGUCUUGGACCCCUCUCAUGGUGGAUCUCUAGGGCUCGAAGUAGAUGCCCUAGGGAUGGUUCUAAAAGCUUAGAAACCUUCUUAGAGAACUCUCCAUGUGUAUCUAAGCUUUCUUUUGCUUAGCAAUGAGAUCAAUCUAGGGGAAAUGCAAAAAAUGGCAUGUUAGGGCAUUCCAAAGAGGAGUUUUGCCCAAGUUAGGAUUCGAUAUAUUUUGAUCAUGUAGAAACCUAAUUGAAGGUAUUUUAAACGCGUUGAAAUGCUCGGUUCGACAAUCCGACGAAUGUAUGCAAAGUUAUUGACAAAAACGUCGUUUUUCGUACAGAUAGCCGCAGCACGCGGACUAGGGCUUCAAAAAUUUCAAGAAAUUCACCGUAGCAUCCUUGUAACCAUCUAAGGUGGGUGGUGCAUUCCAAGGACAUCGGAAAUCCCUUUAUGUCUAAAGCGUCAUAUUUGAGCAUAUGUACUUAUAUUGAGCAUGUUGCAUAGUAGGGUUAAUUGUAAAUUUCUAUUGCAUGACAUGAGUUUUAAUGCUUGAGAAAUAGUAGUAAAUGAAUGAGAAUUGGUAACCCUAUAUAUGCAUGACAUGGGACAAGAACCUAGAAGGGUUAGUAAAUAAAUGUGACAUGUUGACGUAGACAUAGAGUGUGGCAUGAGUACAAGAACAUAGCACCUAGAAAACAAGUGUGGCACCAAUGACAAAGAACAAGAACAAGUCGUGUACAUGACACUAGUAGAGGUUAGAGAAUGCAAGUGAAUUCGGUUAGUGACAUUAUGACAAAUGCACCUUAGAGUUAAGGGUCAUAUGAACAUGGUUCUCCUUGGAGUCAGGGAAUGGAUUGAACUUGGAAUCCUUAAAGUUAAGGAUUGAUCGUACUCACCUAAUAGUCCUUGCUCGAGGGCGGUAGCUCCCCCUCGGGCGAUGUGCUCCGGAGUUGUCAUCACUGGGUCGUAGCGGUUAUCUCCCCAGAGGGCGGUCCCGUCGGGUCGUAGCGGUUAUCUCCCCGACUAUAGGGAUUUGGGUUGGUGAGUUUGUGAGGGCGAAACCUACGGGCUAGCCAUGAGAUUGGGUAAUGAAAAGUUAAUCUUGCAUUCAUCAUGAGCAUUCUAUCGAGCAUAGUUUUAUUUAUCGUUCAGGCAUAUUAGCUGCAUUUGUUAGUUGGUUAUUAUCUAUUCUUUCUUCUAUUAUGCCUGAUUAGACCUAGUGGGAUAGUCGGCGUGGUUGGUUGCCGAACCCACUGGGAACUUUGUUGUAGUUCUCACCCCACUAUUUCCACAGAGCCGGGACCGAGCGAGCCGGCAGAUGAUCGCGGUAAGGGCAUCGCGCCCUAGGUAGAGACCGCCCGAGAUGGAUUUCAUUUUGUAGUUGCACACCCUUUACUAUCAUCUUUUGUAUUUGAUGAUUUUAGUAUUAUGAACUUGCUUUAAUGAAUGAUGUAAAGAAUAUUUACUUUAAAUGUCAAAAGUUAUAUUUUGGGAGAAAUGAGAUGUAAAAAGAAAUGAUGCAAGAAUGUGACAGAACUUGAUUAUAGUUGGAUACAUGUAUGUGAUUUAAAUUUAGUCAUAUUACUUGUAUAUUGAAUGGUUAAUUCUUUCACCUUGGCUAUUGCUUGCCCUCGUGCAAGCCAUUGUGUAUGCUUCCGCUUAUGCAAAUUUGUACUCUAUUGAUACUUGUGUUGGGCCUUGGGCAGACAGGGGAAGCUCUGUCCGUUUGGCGUCUGUUUGACGCUCUCGAACCGGCCAAAAGGGAUCGGGCUCGGGGAGUGACAGAUAAUUUGGUAUCAGAGAGUAAAAGAGCCAAAGGUGAAAGCAUAGGAUGGACCUAGAGACCCUUAGGAAUGGAAAGACCUUAAGGAUCUAGGAAACGUGAGUGACGUUGAACAAAUAUAGCGAAAGCUUAUGAUUGGGUUAAUGCUAAUAAGUCUCUAAUGUGGUUAGAGGCUAACUUAAAGUUGUUAUUUGUUUUCUUUCCUUUGUGUUGUGAUCGGCAGCCGACGACAUGAUGCUUUGGAAGGAAAAUAAAUGCACUUGUAUACUUUCGCCAAUUGGGUAUAAUCGAGUAUAUUGUCUGAGUAACUAACAUGAAUUGCUUCAUUUCAGGAAGCGAUGCCGCCUCGUGGACGACCUAAGUUGCCUCGUGGUCGACCGCGGACGAGGUCUAUGGCCGAGGAGCCAAGUGCGGCUCCCGUGCAACCCGGAGCAGGUGGCGACGGGGAGCUUCGGGAGCAGAUGGCCGCGCUUAUUGGCGUAGUGCGGCAGCAGGCGGAGUCUGUUCAGCGCCAAGGGGAGCAGAUCGAGAGGCUCCAGGAGGCUUUGGAGCGGCAACAGGCGGCGGCGGCGGCGCCCGGGGAGGCCGUGCACCCUGCGCCUCCUGCAGUGGUGCCGAGUGCGGCCGAAAGUGUGGCCGCAGCGGCCGUGCCAGUUACGAUGAUGCCGACAGGAUCGGGGACCUCAAAUCCCGAUAGUGCGGCGGAGGAGGCGGAGCGGGAGCGCAUGUUGGCAGCUCUCAUUCAGUUUCAGAAGUUUAACCCACCUACCUUCGAAUGUGGAGUAGUGGAGCCGGCGAUCGUGGAGUCAUGGAUCGACUCCAUGGAGACACUCCUUGAGGAUCUUAACACCUUGGAGAGGGACAAGGUGUACCUCGCCACAUAUUGCCUCAAGAAGGUGGCGAAGGUGUGGUGGAAGCGUGUUAGGCGGGAUCGAUCGCCUGAUCUUCCGCCUAUGAUGUGGGAGGAGUUCCGGAGGGCGGUGUUUGCCAACUACUUCCCCGAUACGGUGAAGCGGAAGUUGCAAGAGAAAUUCCACAAGUUGCACUCUACCCACUAGCCUUAGCCGACCUUGUGGGGAGCCGCACUCUACCCACAAUGGUCGUCAAUUAGAGAGCUACUCUCUACCCGCUUUAUGAUCCUAGCUCAGUCGAGACUCAUUUCACACUUUCGGCUAGUGAAUGACUCUUCUACCAACUGUGAUCCCUCACUUUCUAGAGAGGUCACUCAUUCUAAAGCUACUCUAGUCUAAUUAGCACGCUUAAUCUUCUUAACCUAUUGGGCCUAGCCACCUCUAAAAUGCUAUAGUUUGGUUAAGAGUUUUAGCCCUAUUAUAUCUCAUAUCUAGGACUAUUCCAAAUCCUUGGGGUGUCACAUUCACGCCCCACGAUGUAGAGGAACCCCUCGUAUACACCAAUAGACCCACUGUAUGCACAGGGAAGUAUCCCGCAACGCACGAAGCGCCAAUCCACCUGUCGAACAUGCAAAUUCUAGGCACAACUACACAAAUGUUAGGAGUUCACAACUAACAAGUAUCAGAGUAUAAGAAUACAUAACAAUUGAUAUAAGCUAAUAGAUACAAAUAUCAUCCAUACAUUUCUAAAAUAAAACCUCCAAAAUAUACAUCACCUACGCGCCUCGCCAGUUACACAAGUACAUAUUGCUAUAAAAAGAAAAUAUACAUCUACUGGGCCCACCUCUAGCUCAGUCGACUAUGGUAGGAGAUGUUAUCUAUCGUGCUAUCCUCUUAGCUUGAUUAGAUGCAAAAGGAGCUGAGGAGUCUGAAAUAGAAAAAUAAUAAAAAAGAUGGCGUAAAAACUACUGAACUAUAGUCCUCAAGAAGUACCAUCGCCGACGACAACGACAUACCCACUAAGUCUACUAGAGGCAAAGAUAGUAAAUAAAACUAUACGAAAGCAGGAUAUAAAUAUUGGAAAUAAACUACCACUAUCAUUCCUCUAAGCUACUACUACUGAAAACUGUAAAUCAUGUAUAGCAUGUAUCAAUUACCUACUAAAUAUAUAAGCAAAACUGUCAGUCACACCGACCAUGUCACGCCUCAGGACCGCCAAUUUGGUCGGUUCAAACAUGCAAACAAACGCCGAACAGACAAGCCUCCUCUGUCCGCCCAGAAAAAUUUCAAUAUACAUGACUUGCACGAGGACAAAUAAAUAAGAGCAAGUGAAAGUAAAUUCUAACUAUUACAUCCAUACAUUGAACUUUGAUUACAUAACCAAAAUACAACUCUUUUUUAGGAUUCAUAUCCCCCAAAUACAUCAUUCAUCAUUCUUAUUACAACUACAUGUCUUUUUCAUCAAAUACAAAAGAUGAAAGUAAAGGGUACAACUAAUGCUCGGAGGUCUACUACCUAGGGCACUAUGCCCUUAUCCCGAUCCUCAACCGCCCCGCUCACGCUAGAAUCUGCAAAAAUAGUGGGGUGAGAACUACAAGAAGUUUCCAGUGGGUUCGGCCAUCGACCCCGCCGACUCUCCCACUAGGUCUAAACAGGCAUAAGUAGAGAAAGGUAGAUUGAUAAAUAAAUAACUUAACUAAUGCAGCUACUAUACCUGUAACAAGAAACUAACACAAGGAAUAUUAUGCUCAUGAUGCAUGUCCUUUCUAAUACUUUUCCCAAUCAUCUUGGCUAACCCAUAGGUUAAGCCCAACUCAUCAAACCAAAUCCCUUUUAUCGGAGAGAAUUCCGCUACCACCCGACGAGACCGUGAGCUGGGGAGAAUUUCGCUACCGCCCAGUCAAUGACAACUCCGGAGCUCACAGCUUGAGGUGUAGCGACCACCCUCGAGCAUAUCAAACUAUCUGUGAGUAUGAUCCAAUCCUCAACCUUGAGGAUACCAUGUCACUAAUGUCAUAAUACCUGUAGUGUAUCAUUUUCUAGCAUUCUAUGUUUCUAAGUGCUAUUCAAUCCAUCUAGUCAUAAUGUCACCUUGUUUACUAUAUUGUCACAGUUCACAACUUGGUUCAUGCAUCUAUAGGGUUCUUAUGUCCAAAGUUUCAUUGUCAAUUCACAUAUAUGUUUACGUUGGAAGUAUGCAAAAGAUUCCAUAUAAUACCAUUUAACCCUACAAUGCAUGAAUACAUACAUAUGCUCAAGAAAGUGACUUAGACAUAACGAGAAAUUCAACUGUUUCGGAUAGCACCACCCACCUUGUAGGGAUGCCGGGAUGCUUGAAUCCAAGUCCCGCAAUUUAUCUUCGCCUAUUUCCCUCGACCCAACACUAACGAAGGUAAAAUAAGGUUUUUCUUCAAUAGGACGUCGUAGGCUCGUCGAAACUCCAAUCCGAGUUGCCCAACGCGUCGAAUUAUCCUUCAAUUAGGAAUACCAAAGGUCAAUUUCAUCAUAGAUCUCAAUUUCUACAAAAUUCUAAAUUUAACCCUAGGGUUUGCAUAUACCACAUAUACCCAAUUUUCUUAGGAUUUCAUGGAAUACUCUAAGCCUUUAUAUCCCAAGAAUCUUAAACACAUGCAAUUUAUGGUAGUUAAAUUAAACCCUAACUCAUACAUGCAAAGGAACUCACCUUGACUCCCAUGCUCCACAAUCCCUUCCUUGUUCUUGAGCCUCCUCACCUCCAAGAGCUCCAAUCCACCCUCAAAAUCUCCUCCAAUUACACCUUGUUGGAGAGAUUCUAGAGAGAGAAUGAAAGAAAAUGAGAAGCUUUUCUCAUGUAAUGAGAAUGAAUGCAUUGGGCCCUUUAUAUAAGCCAUCAUAAUUGCAUUUAAGUCCUCCAACUCUUGCUAUUUAUAACUAUUCAAUUUCAACCCUUUGCAGAGCUGAGUACCGGUACUGGAAUUGGAGUACCGGUACGCGAGCUCUCCAGUACCAGUACCCGUUUCCUGGUACCUCAACCUGAACGUUGGCAAUUUGGGUUUAAUAUAGGGUUUCGGUAUGCGACCCCCAGUACCCAUACCCGACCUCCAGUACCGAUACCCGCUACGUAGUACCGAUACAAUCCAAAGCAGAACCCAAACCCGAGAGUUGGCUAUUUGGGUAAUCAACUGAGUACUAGUACUCAACCAUUAGUACCGGUACACAGCCUAUCCAGUACCGGUAACCCGAGAGCUGGUAGUUUUGCACUCAUAUUGGGUACCGGUACCCCAUUCCUGGUUUCGGUACUCAAUAGAAUUUCUGCCGUUCCAGCAGACUUAACACUUCAGAGCCCGUUUCCGCGCCCGGUUUGCGCCGAAAAUACUUAAAUACUCUCGAAACUCACUUCUAACCAUCCGAAUGCCUUCAAGGCAACUCGGGGACUUCACUUAUCACCUUCAUACCACACCUUGAUCAAUUUGAUCAAUGUUAGCAUUACGAUUCGGGGAUUCGGUAUAUUAGAAAUCGACUCAUAAGUUCGGUCAAGCUUGUACCUGCCUCACACCCGACCCCGACACUAACUUGGUGGUCUAUCGAUGCACAGGCAAUCUAUCCACUAAAUCAGCCACCAGCCUCCAGAGGAGCAAUUGAGAAAUGCGAUCCACUCAAGUGUAGUAUUUUUAUUAAGUACAUUAGGGUUCCUGCAUGCUAUGGUCAUAUGCGAAUGAUCACCCAGAUCAUAUCAAAUACUGUCAAGGUGCCAUUGGCGUAAUCAUGAAUAUGUCACUGUUUAAAACCGCUAUGCUUACCCAAGGCAAUAAUAAAUCAUAUGUCGUUCACAAUUUGUCACCACCCAAAUCGUGAGCAUAUAUCCAAACUAACAGGUUACGCAUAUAUCAAUAAUGUCAUCUCUACUAAAGAAAAAUAAUAGGAAAGUGGAGGAAUAAAUAUAUUGUUAGAUGUGAUCUGAACCAACUCUCAAGUAAGAAUUAUGAAGCAUAUAUAUAUAAGUAUGCUGUCAUAGUAACAGUUAAUUCAACUUCAAUAGUGAGGUAUCCAAAUUGCUACCAUGUCAAUAGGUUAACAUACAUACUAAAUUCUGCAUACUAGACAUGGUAAGAAAUUCGCUAUUUUUAGCUAAUCCAUCUGUAAAUAUUGUCCAAUGCAAACAAGAAAUGUAGCUCAAAAUCCCCUUCCUCACUGUCUCAGAAAAUCGGUAAGAAAACCAACAUAAAUCCUGCUCGUAAAACAAUCAAGCAUUAGCUAAAAACGCAUCCAAUCCAAAGCUCCCAAACAAAAACCAAAUCUUCAAACCAUUAGACCAAAUAAUAGUUACCUACCUCAAGUCCAGAUAGAGAAACGGAUCCACAAUCUGCCUCCUCCUCAGCCAUACACUAGUCCAACCUCCUCUACAGCAUCAUAGCAGAGGAGACUCUUCUCCCAACUCUCCUAGCUAUAGCAGAGGAUGAAGAAAAUAAGAAGGAGAAGAAAUGGAGUAAAGGAGGUUUCUUGAUGGCGAAGGAGUGAGAAAAGAAUGGAUGUAAUACAUAGGCAUAUAUACCGACGAAGAAUUUCAGAAAUGCAUCAGAAAAUAAGAAGUAACACACCCUAGCCCAAAAGCGAACUUUCGAGCACCAAGAACUAGAUUUUCAAGCAUCCACAAGCAUCGAAGAUGCAUCCACUCUCUUAUUCAAGCGCCCGAAUAGAAGCCCAAAGUUGUUGUUAGUCUGUCCACAAAUUUUCGGGCACCCGGAUAGAAGGUUGAAUCUAUCAUAGCUGCACUCGAUCACAUGCAGAUGCUCGAAACCCCAUACCUAAAACUCCUGUGACACUGUGCAUGUGUCAGCACAAAGUUAGAUCAUUACUAAUCUACCCGGGUUGCUACAGUAAUUUCAGGCGUCUGGAGCUGGGAUUCGAAUCAACGACAAAGCAUGUACAUCACUUUUGGGCGCCCUAAAGUCCUUUUGGGCAUAUGAAACUCAUUGAAACUUCAGUUUCAUUAGGAUUUUCAAUUUCGAACCUAUUUCGCAUCGAUUUUGCAUCAAAAUGGCUCCAACUCGGUCCGCCACGCUAUAAACGUGCAGACCAAGCACUGCAAGUGUGAUCUUGCCCACCAACCAAUGUCUAGUACACUUUAUUGACCUCACUCAAUCCAUCUAAAUGUUAGGUCUAUUGUUGGGCCUUUUGCCGCUAGGUUUAUAUUGUGAACCGCAGCUCCACUCAACUUUUGGGCUCACCCAACUCAAUUUAUUAGUCGCUUAAGCCUAUUAUCACUGUGAUGCCCUACUUUCCAAGGAGUCAUCUAUCCUAGGACUAUUCUAGCCCUAACACGCUUAACUCUCUUAAUCUCUUGGACCUAGCCACUACUCAAAAUGCUAUAGUUGGGUUAAGUACUUUAGCCCUAUUAUAUCUUAUAUAUAUAGGACUACCUGGAAUCUCACAUUCCCCCUCUCCCCUUCCCCCCUUUAAGCCCUGACGUUCUCCUUAGGCUCAAACUCACAAAUACCAGAAGAUGUGAGACUCUUCUUGCUAGUUUUAACCGAUCUUGUGGGGGAGCCGCACUCCACCCACAACAAUCAAUAGCAUGAGAGCCUUGCUCUUUCCGUUGUAUGCUUAGUUAAGAUUCAUCUCACACUUCCGGCUAGUAAUUGGCUCUAAUACCAAUUGUGAUGCUCCACUUUCCUAAAGAAAAAUUCAAGUUUCCUCCUAUGUGUAGAACCGGCUCCAAUCGGAACGCAACAUUUCCUCCUAUGUGUAGAAACGAAAAAUUCAAGUUUCCUACACGCUCAAGAUCGCACAAGCACCGAAGAAGACAAGAACGGAGAAAUAGACAGCUCAUAAUAAUAAUCUCAAACAACUCCACAUAUAAAAUUAAACAGCUUUACUAAGAGUAUCUAAAACACCAUACAAUGAAAGUCGAAAAAUAUCAAAUAAAUCUUCAAUCAAAACACCUUACAAUGAAUAUUCAUAAGAGAGGAGAAGAAGUAGAUUAGAGGUCGCCUGCCUCAAACCUAGCAAAAACUCAACUACCUUUGGAACCUCUUUCACGCUUCUCUUGCACUUAGAGAAAACACCAAAAAGAAUUUUGAAGCUUAAGAGAAGAAGCUCUAUUUUUCCUCAUAACUUAUUUUCUUUUGACCCCUAACUAAAACUCAUAUGGUCCAACUUGGCUCACUUAGACCAAAAUAAGCCACAAAUCAAUUUGACUCAAAAGGAACAAAAAAGAGGCCCAUUUAAAUAAUAGACCAUUGGGCUCCUAUAAAUACACUUAUUAAAUUAGUAAACAAAAGGAAACAAAAAAAAAAAGUUUAGCACUAGUUUCUAACAUUUUCGUAGGUCACCCAUCGUAGGACUACUCUAACCCUAGCACGCUUAGCUCCUCUAGCCAUCGCUCAAAAUAUUAUAGUCGGAUUAAAAAUUUUAACCCUAUUAUAUAUAUCUUAUAUAUAGGACUAUCUGAGCUCUCACAAUCAUAAAGUAGGAAGUUGGAUAUAUUUUAGCCAAUAAUUAAUAGCCAAUGCCAUGGUCCGCAAAUUUCAUUGCGAGCUCUUGGGUGCAUUCGCUGCUAUUCAUUUGAAACAUCAUAUCUCAACUGCGUAUCUUCAAUCGGGUAAUGCUCAUCAUCAUGCACAAGGAGCAGUUCGUGCAUGCAUUGAGCAGAAAAUGCUCCAUAAUUAUAGAAGCCACUAGUUUUGAUCUCCCAAAUAGUUGGAAAUCCUUCUUCCCCUUCAACUUCUUAUCGGAAUUAUUUCGAUCAUUUUCAUCCAAACAAUUUCUUAAAAAAGCUUCAUUUUUAGAGAAGAAUUUAAAAAGUGAUUCCAGUAGAGAAGGGAUGUUGAUAGAGCGAAACAAUUAAUUUCUCAGCAGCAACAACUUCAUUUGGGAAAGAAGAAGUUAAAAUAUAAUAAUUUGAAUGGAAAGGAAUGCUGAUAGAAGAAAGGACUAUUAUAUAUCUAAUGAAGGCCCGUUUGGCCUAGCAGUUGAAGAAAUGGUUUUCGUAUAAUUAAUUUUGAUUUGAAAAAUCAAUUUUCGUUAAAAUUUAUAGAGCUUUCAGCUGAAUUUAGAUAGAAAAUGAUUUUUCUGAAAUAAUAUUGUAAAUUUGUUAAUCAAAAAAAUUUUCUUUCUUACAAAUAAUGAUUUUUACGACAAAAUUUCAUCUUAAAAUAAUUUAAAUUUUCAAUUUCAAUUUAAAAUUAGAACAAAAUAAAAAAUUUAAUAUUUUGACUUAAAAUAUAAUAUUAAAAUAUAAAAUUUAAAAAUUAAAAUAUAAUUUUAAUUUUAAAGUCUACAUUAAAGAUUAAUGAUUUAAAAUUUACGUCUAAAAAUUAAAUUUAAAAAUUUGAAAUUUGAAAUUUAAAAGUGAUAGAAAGUGAUUCAAUGUGACGCCCCGAAUUACAACGUUUUUCCGGGCACACCAACAGACCCGCCGUAUACAUAGAAAUUUUUUCGUGUAAACGAAGCGAUAGCUGUACCUGUAAACAAGUUUGAGCUACAACCAAGAGUAUAGAGCUACCAUAACUAAAACAUAAAUAAAAUAUAAAGGUUUCACUGUACAUACAACAUCGACAACCACACCUCGCUGCAGCGAGUGCACAAAACAAAAAGUAUGUGUAUGAAUACAACUCACUAUAUAUCUCUGACGGGUACUCCGCUAGCACGGCAACCAAGGCUGGUAGGGAUCUAACUCACGACUCCCUUACCUCUGUCAAAAUCAGCAACAGCAGCAGCCACAGAUGAAGGCUCUACAAAAAGGUGUCAACAACUAGGUGUGAGAACUAUUGCAAAAUAGAAUAAUCCUCAGUGGGUACCGUCACCGACCUCAACGGCCUACCCACUAAGUCUACAGUAAUGAUAUGAAUAUGAUAGUAAGGAAAGCUGGAAAGAACUCUACAACUACAUGCCUCUAAACUAUUGCUACCAAAACAACUGUCUGUAGACAUAAACAUGCAUCACUAGCUACCACUGACCAAAUCUCACAUAGGCUGCCCAAACGGACCCACCCUACCUGUAACCAAGUUACACCGUACACCACCCACAGGGAUGGCCGGUCUAAAAAAAUGGUCCAAACAGGAUGGCUGCAAUAUCAACGCAAGUCAAAGCCUCACUCCGAAGCGGCACUCAUGGGUGUGACCCAACCGAGUAUGCAAGCGUGUCUUUGCCGAGCUCAAUCAGGCUCUCACAGGCUGUAAUCAAGGCAAAUGGGUCAAACUGGUCUAACAACCAAAGCUUACGUGCCAUUGACACAAUCUGAUGCAAGAUACAAAAAUCUUGAUGCGCCAUCAACUACGACGGCACCCAACAGUACAGAACAGUCUACACUCUACUGUAAAAUGAGUUCGACCUCUCAGCACGUGCGUAAUCUCAACCUACACUAGUCUGGGUAUCCACCUCGCACUAACAGCGGUGAUACAAGAGAACAACAGCUCCUACAGCUAUUUCGGUUACUUUUCGAAAAAUGACAGUGUAGGUUUAGCGAGCUUUCUCCUAAGUUAAUUCCACGUUCAGCAUAUAAAUUUGUCUAAAUUACUAGAUCAUGCUCCAAAAGUCAGAUUUUAUAAAAUAUGCAUUUUCUGAAUUUGAGCAACUAACAUGAUGAACAAGGCCAAAAACAUAUGUUGACGCUUCUAUAACUUAGAAGGAAAUCCAACAAUUUCGUAAAUAUUAACCCAUCUCGAGCACUCGUCCAACGUCGGCUAGAAGUUGAUAAGAGAACUACGCACACUCGCUCGACCUCCGAUGACUCAACCAGGACAACCCACGCGUUCGAACGAUCCUCCUAGGAAGUGAAGAAUCCAAACGAGCUCGAUUCUCGACCUUCCAAACGAACGAAGUAAACAAGCUAGAAAGAGAGAGAGGAAGAAGAGAAACAUACUGUUUCUCCAAGCUUCUCAGGCUGCUAUAUAAGCUGGGGUAGGUGGCGAUACAAUUCACAACCAAAAAGACCAAAAUAUCCCUUACCAACUCCAAUCUGCCUCUGAGGUACCGGUACUCAACUUGAAUACCGGUACUCGGCCCUCUCUCCGCAAUCUCACGCGCUGGGUACCGGUACCAGCCCAAUGCAGUACCGGUACUCAAGUUCGAUACUGGUACUCAAUAACAUGUACCGGUACUCGACAUCAGACAUGCACAAAUUUGAGAGCAUCCAAUUCUACAAUCUCACUGGGGGUAUCGGUACUUCUCACCAGGUACCGUUACUCAACACUGAAAUUCUGCACUUUGCAUAUUUCAGUGUCAGAACUCCACUCUCGCAUCGCGCUGAGUCCGUUUUGCGUCCAUUUCAAGCCAAAACGACUCCGACUUGUCUCGACACCCACCAGACGUGUCGACAAGCCACAGAUGUUGAAGCCUCUCUGACCGCUAAAUACCAGGAACACUACAUUCAAAUUAAGAAAAAAAAAUUUGAUAGAUGGAAAAAAAAAAAAAAAAAAAAAAAAAAAACUUUCAUAUAAUGUAGCAUGAGUGGAUUUCAGCACUUUCUUCUCGUUGUAGACCAACUAGCUCCCUAAAACUUUUCUUUCAUUUGGUCAGGGCUUCUUUAUAACUAUUUCGACUAUUUUCGUCCAACCAAUUUCUCCGCAACAACUGGUAAUCUGAUGCAGAAGUUUUAGAAAUGAUUCCAAUGGACUAGGGAAAAUCGUGUUGAUGGAAGAAUAAGAGUUCUCAACAUCAACUUCAUUUGAGUAAGAAGUUAAAGUAGUGAUCGAUUCAACAUUGUACCAUGUAAUUAGGUCGUCUGGUUGCCUAAAAAAAGUUAACAUUUCUAUUAUUCACUCAUAAAAUAUAUUGAGACCGCUCAACUAUGGAUAUUUUAAUCGCUCCCUACCUUUAGCUUUUCUUAAUUUUUAUGAGUACUCUCUUAACUUUUAUAUUUUCCGUCUAACACGACUACAACAAAAUGGUCUAUAUACGCAUUUUAAUGUAGGUAACAUGUCAAAAAAUUGCUGUGGUGGUGUUUGAAGAUUGGGGAGGUGACUUCUACGAUGUUUAAGAGAAGUUGUCUAUUUAUUGUGUUCUGUUUGGUGGUGGGGGUGGUGUCUGUGGGAUUUGUAUAGUUGUGAGUGAUCUAUUUUAUAGAUGUGUGAUGGGGUGCGCGUGAUGAGAGCGUAGAGGAGAGAGUGCUGCUAAUUCCAACACUUAUUGUGAUAGGUUUAGCAACCUUGCUGCUAUUAGAUCGUCGUAUCUCGUUGGCUGCGGUGGGGAGGAGUUUACGUAUCUAUUAAAGUCUUCUCUGUUAUAAUUGCGAGUUGUGUAUGUAUCUGAGUGAGUGUUUUAGAAGAUGGAAGAUGGGGUAAGUUUUUUUUUUUUGGGUGUCGUGAGUUGUAAGUCGGGUGGUUCCAAAUGACUCUGUGGGUGUGUGCUGUUGCCGUGGGUGAGUAGAGUAACAUCUUUAUGUUGUUGCAUUGCGGCUUUAUAUUUAGGCAUUAGUAAAUGUUUUUUUAAGUUUUAGUAUAAAUGGGACACUUACACAAAAGUGUCCCAAACAUGUGUCCCUAUAACCUAAUUCUGUUGUAGUGGCAAUUUUAAUCUAAUAAGUUAAAUAUUUUUCUAAUUUAUUAAUAAUUAUAUCAAGUUUUUAAGAAUUUUUAAUUAAUUUUAGCAUGCAAAAUUAAAAUAGUUAAACUAAUAGUUGAUAAAAUAUCUACUCAAUUUAACAAAAUUUUUAACUAAUUUUACUAUAAAAAUUCCAAUAAAAAAUUAUAAACUAGGAAGUUUUAAUAAAAAAUAAAAGUUAACAUUUAUUUCAAAAUAGUCCGUAAAUAUUAGGGGGUAUCUUCAGACGUCUUUAUGCAAGCAGUACUAUUGCCUAAAUUUAAUUUAUUAUAUAAUCCGUAGAUAGGGAUGCAAAUGGAUCCGGAUUGGUGGAGCUCCCACCUCGAUCCAUUCUGAAUCGAUUGAUAAGUUGUAACAAAAAAAUAUAGAAAAAUAUAAUUCACUCCGAAUCUGUCCCGAUCCGCUAAGUAAAUGGAGCGGAAGGCGAGAGACCCUUUUUUUUCCUUCAAUUCGUCCCGAUCAAUUAAAAAUCCACCAAAAAUCUACUCCCGUCCCGAUCUGCCUCGGAUGGGGUGGUAAAUAUGAGCCAAAAAUAAAAUGAAAAAUAACCUGUCCCGAAAAGAAAUGGAAUGGGAGGUGGAAGAACCCUCCCACCCCUGAUCCUCCUCGUUUGCUUCCCUAUAUAUCCAUCUAUAAACUCCUAUGAAAACCCAUAUCCUUUUGUCCACGUGGCGAUAUCUAUAAACUCCUAUAAAAACCUAUAUCUUUUUGCUCACGUGGCGAUAUUAGCUUAAUUUGAUCUUUUGUGGGGCCUACCCGUCAUCUUAAAUUACCAUACUUAAUUGUUAUUUGUGUGGGCAUAUCAGUCAUCCUAAUUUACAUGGCCCAUAAGGCCCACUUGGCUUUUUUUUUUCUCAUCUUCUUCCAAUUUAAUUCAACAUGGGCCCUCAUGGCAAUUUUUUUUCUUCAUCUUUUUCCCAUUUAAUUCAGCCGGUUCCCAUUUAAUUGGUUUAAGUAACCGGUUCAUCUUUCAACCGGUUACGAUUAAACCCAUUACAUCUUCAACCCUAGCAUGUUCGCUACCUCCUAGAUGCCGCUCGCCCCCUAGAUGCCUCUCCGACUCCUGAUGUAUACAUCCUCCCUGGACGAAAAAUUAGGCUGAAUUCACUAUCGAUCCUUCUUCCCAUUGCGCUGUUUUUGAUAACGAUGCUUCAUUCCUACCGAUUGAUCCCUCUCCGAUCGCAAAAAUGGUUCAGAUUCAUUAUGUACGGUCUCUCCGACUUGUCGGAUAUCUAUAUUUGUUGAAUGCGAAGGGUUGUUUUAUGUUGAAUGUUGUCUCUAUAAAAUUUUUAUUUGCAGCAAAAAAUCUCUAUUUCUCUGUUGGUGCUCUUUUCUUCUCUGAUUUGAUUUUCAUCUUUUAUUUUUGUUUGAAUUUCAAUUUGGCUGUUAUUAUUUUUUAAAAAAAAAUAUUGAGUAAUUUUACUUUGUCUCAAAAAUUACCUCUAUCGAUAGCAUCAAGUUUUCCACCGUUAGAUUUAACCCUUUAACUAUUUUCACCCGUUAAAUUAUAUUAUUAAACCAAUAACUCAUUUAACUCUAGGGGGCCCACAUCAUCAUAACCGUACAUUUUUUUCAUCUAAGGGCUGAAAACCUAAUAGCACCAAUAGGUUGGUGCUAUUGAUAGUAUUCCAGUCUAUAUAUAUAUAUAUAUAUAGAGAGAGAGAGAGAGAGAGAGAGAGAGAAAGAGAGAGAGAGAGAGAGUUGAGCUAGAAUACUCUCAAAAGCACCAAGGGAGUNAAAUAUUUUUCUAAUUUAUUAAUAAUUAUAUCAAGUUUUUAAGAAUUUUUAAUUAAUUUUAGCAUGCAAAAUUAAAAUAGUUAAACUAAUAGUUGAUAAAAUAUCUACUCAAUUUAACAAAAUUUUUAACUAAUUUUACUACAACAAUUCCAAUAAAAAAUUAUAAACUAGGAAGUUUUAAUAAAAAAUAAAAGUUAACAUUUAUUUCAAAAUAGUCCGUAAAUAUUAGGGGGUAUCUUCAGACGUCUUUAUGCAAGCAAUACUAUUGCCUAAAUUUAAUUUAUUAUAUAAUCCGUAGAUAGGGAUGCAAAUGGAUCCGGAUUGGUGGAGCUCCCACCUCGAUCCAUUCUGAAUCGGUUGAUAAGUUGUAACAAAAAAAUAUAGAAAAAUAUAAUUCACUCCGAAUCUAUCCCGAUCCGCUAAGUAAAUGGAGCGGAAGGCGGGAGACCCUUUUCUUCCUUCAAUUCGCCCCGAUCAAUUAAAAAUCCACCAAAAAUCCGCUCCCGUCCCGAUCUGCCCCGGAUGGGAUGGUAAAUAGGAGCCAAAAAUAAAAUGAAAAAUAACCUGUCCCGAAAAGAAAUGGAGUGGGAGGUAGAAGAACCCUCCCGCCCCUGAUCUGCCUCGUUUGCUUCCCUAUCCAUCUAUAAACUCCUAUGAAAACCCAUAUCCUUUUGUCCAUGUGGCAAUAUCUAUAAACUCCUACAAAAACCUAUAUCUUUUUGCUCACGUGGCGAUAUUAGCUUAAUUUGAUCUUUUGUGGGGCCUACCCGUCAUUUUAAAUUACCAUACUUGAUUGUUAUUUGUGUGGGCAUAUCAGUCAUCCUAAUUUACAUGGCCCAUAGGGCCCACUUGGCAUUUUUUUUUCUCAUCUUCUUCCCAUUUAAUUCAACAUGGGCCCGCAUGGCAAUUUUUUUUCUUCAUCUUCUUCCCAUUUAAUUCAGCCGGUUUCCAUUUAAUUGGUUCAAGUAACCGAUUCAUCUUUCAACCGGUUAUGAUUAAACCCAUUACAUCUUCAGCCCUAGCAUGUUCGCUACCUCCUAGAUGCCGCUUGCCCCCUAGAUGCCUCUCCGACUCCUGAUGUAUACAUCCUCCCUGGACGAAAAAUUAGGCUGAAUUCACUAUCGGUCCUUCUUCCCAUUGCACCGUUUUCGAUAACGAUGCUCCGUUCCUACCGAUUGAUCCCUCUCCGAUCGCAAAAAUGGUUCAGAUUCAUUAUGUAUGCUCUCUUCGACUUGUCGGAUAUCUAUAUUUGUUGAAUCCGAAGGAUUGUUUUAUGUUGAAUGUUGUCUCUAUAAAAUUUUUAUUUGCAGCAAAAAAUCUCUAUUUCUCUGUUGGUGCUCUUUUCUUCUCUGAUUUGAUUUUCACCUUUUAUUUUUGUUUGAAUUUCAAUUUGGCUGUUAUUAUUUUUUUUAAAAAAAUAUUGAGUAAUUUUACUUUGUCUCAGGAAUUAACUCUAUCGAUAGCAUCAAGUGCUUGGUGCUAUCAAGUUUUCCACCGUUAGAUUUAACCCUUUAACUAUUUUUACCCGUUAAAUUAUAUUAUUAAACUAAUAACUCACUUAACUCUAGAGGGCCCACAUCAUCAUAACCGUACAUUUUUUCAUCUAAGGGCUGAAAACCUAAUAGCACCAAUAGGUUGGUGCUAUUGAUAGUAUUCCAGCCUAGAGGUAUAUAUAUAUAUAUAUAUAUAUAGAGAGAGAGAGAGAGAGAGAGUUGAGCUAGAAUACUCUCAAGAGCACCAAGGGAGUGGUGCUUUUGAGUUUUUAGCUAUUGGAUGGAGAGAUGUAGGGUUGAGAUGAUGGGGUAGGUGGUGGUAAGUGGUGGUAGGUGGAAUAGUGUUUGGUCCAAAGGUUAUUAGUAAUCAGGGAGUAGAUCCAAGGGCGAGAAACUCAAAAGCACCAAGGGGUUGGUGCUUUUGAGAGUAUUCUAGCUCAAUUUUAUAUAUAUAUAUAUACUUCAAUACACUAUAUAAAUCUUGAUCAUUUAUUUUUCUUAAUAGAUGGUUUAAAUUUAAUAUGACUCUAGAGAUGGCCUACUAUUGAAGCGUAGGUACCAUUCAUCAUGUACUUAUGGUCUUUGUAAAAUAUUUUGGUCUACAAAACCAAUUUUAUCCAACUAAGAAUACUAUGACCUUUUCAAAUGCCUACAACAAUAGUUGGAUUUCAAAUUACAACCAAAUUGUAAAUUUAAAUUCAAAACAACAUUUAAAACUUAAUUAUAGAUCAAAUUCAAUUUUUUUAAAUAUAAAACACAAAUUUAAAAUAAAACUUUCAGUUCCAAUUCAAAAUUUCAAUUUAAAUCAAAAAUUAAAAUUUGGUUUUAAGAUUACAAGUUCAAUUUAUAUUCAAAUUAAAAGUUUAAUAUAAAUUUCAAAAUUAAAAUUUUGCAUUACAAUACCAACUUCAAAAAUUAAAUUUAAAUUCAAUAUUUUUUUGAGCUGGAUACUUAACAAAUUGGGUAUUAUCUAAUUUGGUAAGUUAUCAAAGAGAAUAAGAUAUUUGAUAUUUAUAGGAUGCUGACAAAUUUGGUAUAUACUACUAAUUUUCUUUCUAAUAUUGUCAUACUAACUAAUUCAAAUUGGUAACCUGCUCAGCAGGUUACUUCAUGUAAAACUCAAUUAUACCCUUUACUAAUUAAGAAUAAGAUUUUAAUAUUUUUGGUGUAUUNUCGACUAACCUUUUAAUGAUGAGUGGAUAAUUGCACCUCAAUCAUUUUAAGUAGUAAAUGUCACCAAACCUCAUUAUUUGAUCGUCCACAUUAACAUUUGCAGAUUAAUAAAUUAGCAUGCACAAUUUGAACUAAUAUUUCAUUUGAACAAUGAAACGAAUACCUUAGUAUCUAAAAUAAUAAUAAUAUAAUAUAGAAUGAAAUGAUAGAUUAACUGUACUCCUUACAUUCAAAGUGUAUGAUUCCCAACAAAAAUAAAAACUUGAAAAUAUAUAUAUUUUUUGCUUUUUAUAUUUUUCUUUUCUUUAUUUAAAAAAGUUAUUCACCACUUAAGUGGAGUGGGUAACAAGUUUACUGAUCCUAACAAUAAGAAAAAGGAUUAAUUUAAAACAGGUCCCUAUAAAUAUAGUGAAUAGUAAAUAUAUUUUUACAAAGUUCAACUUAAUUUCAUAUGUUGUCCCUACAAAAGUCCUGAUGUUUUCAAAUAUAUCACUGCUGUUAGAAUCCGUUAUAAAAGUUUAGUUAACUAUAGAUUAAAUACUUAAUCUUGGUUAAUUUUUAAUAAUUUUACCCUUCUUAUAUUAUAAUAUUAUGGCUUUUGGAGGGAUAUAUAUUUGUGUUAACAAAAUUGAAAAUAUAAACGGUUCUCUAACGGUAACAAGCCAGAGAGAUAUAUUGGAAAAUAUGAGAACCCUAAGAAAAAAGUCCUCCUUGAUGUUGCAUAUCAGAAUAUAUAAAUUAGUCCAAAAAAUAGCAACAAUACCAAACAUGUUAUUGAUUUGUCAACUCUAAACCUACAUAGUAAUAGUAAUAUUGAGGGCCACAAUAGGAUUUUGAAAAUCUUAGCUCCUAUAAUUUUAAGAUAAAAGCAUUUAAAAUGCUAGAUAGUUUCAAAGUGUCCUUUUUUAAAAGCUUUUUCUUUUGAACUUUUUGUUUCAAAAUUUAUUUUUCAAUGAACAACUAUAAUUUCCUAUUAAUUUCUAGUGAAAUUAAAAUUUCUCCAGAUAUAGAAUGAUCUGACUUUUCCUCCAUAUGUGAAUUUCCAUUUAAAAAAAUUAAAAUAAAAAAUAUUUUAAAAAAACAGCUAUGGACUACAAAUAGGGUUGUCAUUUGUCAAUGAGCGGAAUUCAUGUUUAGUGAUUUGAACAGGAUCUGACUUGUUAAAAUGUUGAGUUGAAAAACGAGCCGAACGCAAAUUAGUUCAUGAUCAACAAGUUAAAAGGAUUAGAAAAAAUAUAUAUAGAAAAAAAAUUUAUGAGGUCUUGACGAUUAUAUUUUAAUCUAAAAGUUGAAACUUUGUAUAUAAAUAGGCAUUUUCACAAUUGAGUUGGGCUUUAUAUGUAUUUAGAUCGGCACUACAACAGAAUUAGGUUAUAGGAACACAUAUUUGGAACACUUUUGAGUGAGUGUCCCAUUUAUCCUAAAACUUAAAAAAAUAUCUACUAAUACCUAAAUAUAAAACCCAAUCCAACCAAAAAUAAAAGAUUACUCUACUCAACCCAACACACCCAGUCCAUUUGGCCCGAUUACAAACAGAAAAGAAAAAAAAAAAGAAAAAUCAAUUACCUCUUUUCUUCUCUCUUCACUCAAUCCACUGAAAUUCUAGACGAAGAGCCCUUCCUGUCGUCCUCCUCCGCCACCGCAGCCAACGAGAUAGAGUUUCGGCGGUUGCUAAAUGCUUAAAUAAGUAUUGGUAAAUUAGCAGCACUCUUUUAGGUUAUAGCGACACUCUUUAACUGUCACUAUAUACUAUGGUCGACCCACAUAUAACAGACACUUUUAAAUUGUCGUAAUUUUAGCAGACACUUUUUUACCAUGUACUCUACAUUUUAAAAGUUGCUAUAAUUGACCUGUUUCUGAUUUGUAGUGCGACUAACAAUUAAAUAAUAACUAAUUGUAUAAUAUAUACUUAUAUAUUAUAAUAAUUAUAUAAAUAUAUAUAUAUAUAUUAUAUAUAUAUAUAUAUACUAUAUAGAAUAAGCUACUAUGCUAUGAAAGCAUAAAGUAUGUUUUCCAAAUUUAGCGCCUUAAUCAACCCUCGUAGGGAUCAUCUAAUCAUGUAUUACUAUUAUAACAUGUGACCACUCAACCCCAAGAGACCGAUCAUUCAACUAGUAAUUACUUUAUACAAGCAAAAAUAUGCGGGAAACACAACAUUUUAGUUCCAAUACAUAGAGCUCUAACACCUAAUAUAAAUAUAUAAUUUAAACUAUUUAUUAUAUAUAUAUAUAAGAUAAUAGAAGCAAGAGAAGAGAAGAGAGACAGAGCGAGAGAGAGAGAAGGAGAGAAUAGCAGGGGCUCGUUCCUAGUGAGCAGAAGCCUGAUCUACGAUCCGUUCGAUGAUGGAAAUUCGAAUCGACAUUCGCACGGUUAACCUUGAUCUACGCGUAUUGAGUUUCGAGAAAAUAAUAAUUUAACUGAUUUUUCGAUAGCAUUACCUAGCAAUUCGCAAGGAUUCAAAUCAAUAAAUUUUAAAAGGCUAAACAUAAAACCUAUAAAUAGUGGUGAAUACACUAAAAUUUUCACGACUAGAAAUAUUAAUUUGUUGAAUUAAAGAAUUUUUAUCAAAAUCUCAUAUGAUUGAGAUUACUUCCUACACCGUUAAACUUGAAAAUAAGCAAUAACAACAUUAAAAAUAUGAAUUUGAAUCCUUUGAUCACUAAUAAAUUAAUCAAAAAUCAAAAAAUAGUAGCUGCUGUGCUCUCGAGACACAGAGCCUCCGUGCUCGCCUGAGCCGUUUUCGAUGAUCGGAAUUUUCGAAUCGACAUGCUCCGUUAGACUAUAAUAAUUCUCAUUUUGAUAAUAUUUACCAAAGUGAUCGAAAAGAUCAAAUCCAUAAAUUUUAAUGUUAUAUCUGUCCGUUUAGCGCUGCUGGCUCUCAGGACAGUAGGCCUCGUGUCUCCUGACCGUUUUACGAGAUGAAUUUUUUAUCGACGAUCGCUCUCCAGUUCGGCUUGAUAAUUUUGCGACUUUUUUAUAUCAUUACUAAGUAUCGAACAGGAUCAAACUCCAUAAUUUUAAUGUUGAUAUCUUUUUUCAAGUUUCACGUGUAGAAGUAUCAAACAGAAACAUUUGAUCACAAUUCUUCUACAUCUACAACAAAUUAAUAUUCUGAUCGAAUAAUUUUUAGUUCUACAUAAACUUUUUAUAGGAUUUUUUAUUCAGUCGUUAUAUUAAAAAUUAAUAUAUCAUAGAGAGGCUGCUAGCUCCAGGAGCACGAGCGUUUUCGAUAUGGAAUUUCGAAAUCUACAUACGCUCCGUUAACUUGAUAAUUUUUACGGAUUUUUUGAUAUAUUUACCCUAGUGAUCGAAUGAUCAAAAUCGAUAAAUUUUUAAUGUUAUUUAUUUCUCCUUUUUCAAGUUUAACUGGUAAAGUUUCAAAUCAAUAAAUUUGAAUACAAAAUUUUAUACUAUCUAACAACAAUUAAUCAAUUCGAUGAUCAAAUUUAGUAUUUAUCACCACUUUUUAUAAAUUUUUAUUUCAAACCGUUAAAAUUUAUUGAAUCUUUGAAGUCCUUUUCAAUGCUAGAAAUGAUAUCGAAAAAUCGCAAAAUAUUUUCUAGAAACUUUAAAUCGCUACUCAAGUCUAACGACCGACUCGUCGAUUCGGAAACUCCAUCAUCAAAACGGCUCAGACACAGAGCCUCCGGCUCCCUGAAGAGCAAUGCAGCCCCUGCUAUAUAUAUAUAUUAGGUAUAAUAUAUAUCUAUAUCCGUCUAUAUCUUAUAUUACAUCGUCCUCUAAUACUCAUAAUCCGUUUCGGGUGGGAGAUAGAGCUUCCGAAUUGAUGAUCCAUACCAUUAAACGUUAUCUAGAGCAUUUAAAACUUCUAAAAAUUAAAUUAUCACGUCCCGGAUUAUAGCGGAAGCCCAAGUUACGUCAACAGACCCGCCGCAUUCACAAGAAUACACCUUAUAUAUACGAAGCGUCAACAAAUCUUGUGACGCCCCAACUUCCCAGGGGUUCACCUAUCCUAGGACUACUCCCGUCCCAGCACACUUAACUCUCUUAACCUCUUGGGCCUUGCCACCACCGAAAAUGCUUAAGCCGGGUUAAGAGUUUAGCCCUAUUAUAUCUUAUAUAUAGGACUACCCGGGGUCUCACAAAUCUAUUCAACAAAAUUAACUAAAAUCUAACAAUAAUAGGUAUCAGAGAAAAAUAAAACUAUAUGCUAUAGCUACACUGUAACGAUUUACAAUCAUUACCACACCAAUCUUCAAAAUGGUACAACAUUUCUAACCACUCCAAGUAUCAAAACACUGUACAGGCUGCUCACUAAUAGGUGGUCCAACUACACACACAAGAAGGGUAGGAGAUGCUAUAUAUCCACGAUUCGCUUAUAUCGAUCAGUCGCUGGUGCUGAAGGCUCUGAAAUAAAAUAUUAAAUAAAAGGGUAUGAAAACUAUAAUCAAUAGUUCCCCAGUGGGUACAAUCGUCAACGCUGACGGUCUACACCACUAGGUCCAUAAGAGGCAAAAAUAGUAAAUACUGAGCAAUAUGAAAGAACAUAUACUAAUAUAAAUAAUUGCUGAAAAUAACUGCUACUAUCAUGCCUCUACAGCAUAGCUGAAAUUGUAAAUUAUGUUUUGCAUGUAUCAAUUAGAGACUAAAUAAAAUACUACAAUAAUUACCAAUCAUAGUGAUCGACUCAACAUCAAGUCUAGCCUGCGCAGCCUCGUGUCCAGCACCCACCUAUUGUGGUUUGCUACCACGCAAGCAGCUGUCUGGCCUAUGCCAUAAUAAUAUCUCAUAGCCCAACCUCCGAAAUGGCACUCGCGGGGCACUACCCCAACCGAGUAUAGUAUCACUGUCAAACUUAACGUAGCAUGCGGGCUGUGGUCAAAUGCGAUGAUCAAAUAGAUCAUGAUAUGUUGUCAUAGUGUCCAAAAUACAGUUAUAGUCUCACAUUAUCUGUAGCUAUUUAUUGACCUUUAGAAAAUAUUAUAUAUAUAUACAUAUAUAUAUAUAUAUAUAUAUAUAUAUAGCACGAUUCUCGAGAAGUCAUAAAUUAACAAUUAUACAAUAGAAACUAGAGACAUUUUAUUUAGUCAUGAGAGUCUACUGUGCUCUCAAGAAACGAUACUCGUUGCAAGUAGACGGAGCCUGUUCUCUGGCGCACAUGAGUAGUCUACAUGAUUAGCCGUUUUUAUGAUGGCACAUUUUUCACGAAUCAGUGCAGAUUCGCGUACUAAAUUACACUCUCGGGUAAUAAAAGCUAUUCUACCGCUUACCGAUGUCUUCGAGAUAGACUGUUAGAUAAAAUAUACUCGGUGGAUAUAUUAGAUCAUGUCAGUGUGUAAUAUGAGUUAAUUGAAAUGUUUGAGUCCAGUAUGUCUUCCUGACGAUACAUCGCUCGUCCAAAAUUUUGUAACUGCGUCGGAGAUAAAUGAAUAGACAACAGUAAAUUGGCUGAGUCGUUCGUGCUUCGAUGAGAUGAGGACAUAAACAGUAUCAACUACUAGGAGAGACCUAUCACGUCGUUGGAUGUCCCUGAGCAUGCACACUGUGCGAGCAAUCCCGAUCAACUUUAUCUCGAUUUGGAUAGUAUUCUUGGAAUACGUCGACAGAAUCGAUGAUCGGCUCCGUUAGACCGUGAUAAUUCGAUUGUUCCAAAUAGUAUUAUACAUCUCGUGCAAUAAUAUAGAUAAGCAUUAUUACUACCCUAUUUCAAGUACGUAGAAAUAGGGAAUAAAACACAGUGCAAAGCUCAAACGGUGAGUGUCAAAUUUUAUAUUGAUAUCUUUGCUCGUGAGAUUAUACACAUUAAUGUAGUUCACCGAUUUAUUUCGCUAAGAAAAGGACUAUUAAGAAUCUGUUAGAAAUCACACCCGGGAGAGAUCUAAUAGAACACAUAUUACAUUAUACGAUAGGAAGCUAAGUUACCAUGAAUAUUCAGAAAAGAUUGACAACGAUAAUACGACAUUAUAUAUCACUCGCAUUGUCCUGCAACUGAGAUAUAUGCUAAAUGUUGUUUUCACAUUUUUGGUCUCUAGAACGUUAGAACACAUCGAAUUACGAUCCUAUAAAUUACACUCCAGGCAUAAACAACGAAGUCAAUGUCCGUGUCGAUCUAGAGCUGAGCAUAAAAGUACUGCUCUGUAUAAUAAUACAUUCGAUCGGUACGAACUGCGAGUAUUCAAUGAUAUGUCCAUAUUAGAUUCUCGAACAUGCACACGCAAUCUGUCGCUUCAAAUGACAACUCCGGAAUAAUAAAAAUAUAAUCUACGUUUGACACUCACUCACAUCUCUCGCCCCCUCUCACUAUCACUCCCUCACUCACACACACACACACACACAAUCCACUCAGUGUGUGAGACCUCGAUCCCCUCCCCCACUCCUCUCUCACACUCUCACCCACACAGCUACACUCAACACUGCAAUUUAAAUAACAAAAUUUUUUUAACCAUUACCACACCACACACCACUCUCCUCCCCCCCACACACUCCUCGCUCACACCUCACUCAUCUCUCACCUCUCAAACAAGUUAUUGUUUUGAAUCUUGGAUUGCCUGUCACACUCACUCACUCCCACACAACCCACACACUCUCACACCACACACACGACUCACAGUCUAACCGGACGCCCGGACUGCUCCCCCCCCCACCCCCUCCCCACACCUCACCGCGCACCACACUCACGCCACCCCUCCUCACACACCCGCACCCCCCCCCCCCCUCUCACACACUCUACCACACGACCCCCUACACUCACCACUACUCUCACUCCACCACGCCUCCCCUCAUACCUCAUCAAGUGUCCUUUCGACUCCACACACCCCACACUUGAUGACCAUACACUCACCUCUACUCACACCACUCUCACAACUACACACACACUCACACCAUCUAUUCCACCUCGCACCCACCGCGCUCACCACGUAACACACCCCCCGCACUUCACCAAUACACCUAUUUAGGCAUACGAAGGUCGUCAUCGAAAGGAUUCAAAUCAAUAAUUUUUAAUGGUUGAUAUAUGCCGUUUUCAAGUUUAACGGUGUAGAAGUAUUCAAAUUAGAUGAAAUUUUGAUACAAAAUUCUUUAUACUAUCUACAACAAGAUCAAUAUUUCAAAUCGAAAAUUUUAGUGCUAUAUCACCACUUUUUAUAGAAUUUUUAUUUUCAGCCGUUAAAAAUUAUUGAUUUUGAAUCCUUUCGAUUGCUAGGUAAAUGAUAUCAAAAAAUCGCAAAAAUUAUUUUCUAGAAACUUCAAAUACGUUAGAUCAAGUCUAACGGAGCCGAUCAUCUAUUCGAAAAUUCCAUCAUCGAAAACGGCUCAGGAGCACGGAGGCCUCCGUGCUCCUGAAAGCACAACAGCCCUACUCUAUAUAUAUGUAUAUAUACAUAUGUACAUAUGUACAUAUACAUAUGUACAUAUAUAUAUGUACAUAUGUAUAUGUACAUAUGUACAUAUAUACAUUUGCCAGUAGAGUAAAUUGAGACGUAUAUAUACAUAUGUACGUAUGUAUAUAUACAUAUAUAUGUAUGUAUGUCUCAAUUUACUCUACUGGUAAAUGUCAAACUAUCACUAUUACUCAACUAUAUCAACAGUUCAUCUCACAGAUUAAAUAAUAUAAUAUGGAUAUAGAAAUUAGUCCGUCAAUUUUGACAACACGAAACUCACCUAUAACGCAAGUCCAAGAAAAUGAACGGUAAACGAGAUAGCAGCNAUUAUUUAAUCUGUGAGAUGAACUGUUGAUAUAGUUGAGUAAUAGUGAUAGUUUGACAUUUACCAGUAGAGUAAAUUGAGACAUAUAUACAUAUAUACACGUACGUACAUAUAUAUAUAUAUACAUACAUACAUAUGUAUAUAUACAUACGUACAUAUGUAUAUAUACGUCUCAAUUUACUCUACUGGCAAAUGUAUAUAUGUACAUAUGUAUAUAUACAUAUGUACAUAUGUACAUAUACAUAUGUAUAUGUACAUAUGUACAUAUGUAUAUAUACAUAUGUACAUAUAUACAUUUGCCAGUAGAGUAAAUUGAGACGUAUAUAUACAUAUGUACGUAUGUAUAUAUACAUAUGUAUGUAUGUAUAUAUAUAUAUAUGUACGUACGUGUAUAUAUGUAUAUAUGUCUCAAUUUACUCUACUGGUAAAUGUCAAACUAUCACUAUUACUCAACUAUAUCAACAGUUCAUCUCACAGAUUAAAUAAUAUAAUAUAGACAUAGAAAUUAGUCCGCCAAUUUUGACAACACGGAAUCCACCUAUAACGCAAGUCCAAGAAUAUGAACGGUAAACGAGAUAGCAGCCACAACACUCUAAAAUAGCUCGAAAAUUUCUCGUCAAGAUUACGCGAAAUCCGCUCCUAAAAUGUAUAAAAAAAAUCAGUUUCUAACUCUCAAUUUCUAUAAAAAAUUUAUCAAAAGAAUCUAAAUGAGAAAUAAUAAUAUUAUGAUACUAACCACGACAUCGAAACGCCAAAAUACGCGUGCGCGCACUCGACUCGCUCGCUCGCUCGCCAGAACGAAUCGAGCUUGCUUGCCAAUGUCUCAACCAAUUCCCACUCUCUCUUCAAUACAAGUGAAGAGGAUAAGAUCAAAUAAAAACUUCAGGUGCUACGUGGAUUCCAUGCAAAAUAGCAAAAAUGUCAUUAGGCCCCUCAAAAGUCAAUAUUUCGACUUUAGUCCAAAAUAAUUAAAUCUUGAGUUUCAAAGUCCGUUUUUACAUCUAUUUUGCGCAAAACGUCUCCAACUCAAUAAAGCAUAAAUUUAUACUGUAACCUUGCCAAUUUGUUAAGAUUCAGUAUAUCAUAUCCUCCCCUCCUUAAAAAAAAAUUUCGUCCUCAAAAAUUAAAAUAUAUCUCAGGUCGGCUGCUCAAAUAAAUACGGAUAAAAUUCUCGCAUCGCAUCCUCAGGCUCCCAAAUCGCCUCUCGCUCUUCCUGGUGACUCCAUAGUACUUUCACGUAAGAAAUAACUCUAUUCCGCAAUUCUUUUACUUUUCGUGCAGGAAUUCGAAUCGGUUGCUCAGUAUAACUCAUCUCCUCAGUCACCUCCAGUGGAACAUAAUCUAUUACAUGUGAUGGAUCAAAAAUAUACUUUCUUAAGGCUGAAACAGGAAACACAUCAUUUACAUCGGCUAAACUCGGCGGCAAAGCUAACCGAUUUGCAAUAGGUCCAACACGCUCAAGUAUCUCAAAAUGUCCAAUGAAUCGUGGACUAAGCUUUUCACGCAUUCUAAACCUCUUUAUCCCUUUAGAUAGUGAGACUGAGAAAUACAUGAUCUCCAAUCUGAAACUCUAAGUCUCGACAUCGUGUGUCAGCAUAGCUUUUCUGUCGACUCUAAGCGAUUUGCAAAUGUUGUCGAGCAAUUCUAACAUUUGCUUCUAUUUCCACUAAAAUAUCUGGACCCAGAGUUUUUCUCUUACCCACUUCACUUCAAUAUAAUGGUGAUCGACAUUUUCUUCCAUACAAUGCCUCAAAUGGAGCCAUUUUUAUACUUACUUGAUAACUAUUAUUAUAUGCAAACCCCGCCGUUGCCAAAUGUCGAUACCAGCCACCACCAUACUUGAGGACACAUGCUCUCAACAUAUCCUCAAAUAUUUGAAUCGUCCUCUCAGACUGUCUAUCAGUUUGCGGGUGAAAAGCUGUAUUGAACUGUAACUGAGUUCCCAAAGCCAUCUGUAAAGCUCUCCAAAAGUGUGCUACAAAUCUCGGGCCUCGAUCUGACACUAUAGAGGUAGGAAUUCCAUGCAGUCUUACGAUCUCAUCGAGAUAUGUUUGAGCAAGCUUCUCUCUAGACCAAGUCACUUAGACUGGUAUAAAGUGAGCAGAUUUAGUUAAUCUAUCCACUGUCACCCAGAUCGCAUCAUGUCCAUCCUGUGAUCUUGGUAAGCCAGUUACAAAAUCCAUAGUGAUCCUAUCUCAUUUCCAUUCAAGAAUUAGAAGAUUUUGUAAUUUGCCAGCAGGUACCCGAUGCUCCACUUUUACUUGCUGACAGGCUAAAUAUUGUGAUGCAAAUCUUCCAAUAUCUCUUUUCAUACCAUUCCACCAGUAAUGUGGUUUAAAUCCUUAUACAUUUUCAUUCCUCCAGGGUGUACAGUAUAGGGGGAACUAUGUGCUUCCCUCAAUAUCUCCUCACGGAUCUCAACAUCCAUAGGUACACAUAAUCAAUCCUGAAAUCUUAAUACCCCCGAAGCAUCAACACUAAAGUCCUUCACUUCUUCACUUGCUAAUUCUGUCCAAAUUUUUGUUAAAUGUGGAUCAACACUUUGUUUCUCUUUAAUUCUUUCUAGCAGAUUGGGUUGUAAAACCAUAGCCAUAAGUCUAGCAGAAACUCCAGAGAGUACAACUUCCAAGUCUAACCACCUCAUCUCCUCUAACAAUGCUACUUGAUUAGUAAUCAUUAUACUCAAAUUCUGUACUGAUUUACGACUUAAUGCAUCUGCCACUACAUUAGCCUUGCCAGGAUGAUAAAGUAUUGAUACAUCGUAAUCCUUCAGUAAUUCUAACCAUCGGCAUUGUCUCAAAUUCAAUUCUUUCUAAAUAAAUAAGUACUUGAGACUUUUAUGAUCAGUGUAGAUUUCACAAUAUUCUCUAUAAAGAUAGUGGCGCCAAAGUUUUAGUACAAAAAUCACAGCAGCUAACUCCAAAUUAUGAGUAGGAUUUUUUUUCUCAUAUUCUUUCAACUAUCUGGAAGCAUAAGCAAUUACCCUCUCAUUCUGCAUCAAUACACAACCCAAUCCACUCUGUGAUGCAUCACUAUAAAUAACAAAUCCUUAUCCAUAACAGGAAGGGUAAGGAUACGAGCCGACAUCAAUCUAUUUUUUAAUUCUUCAAAACUCCUUUGGCAAUCCUCACUCCAAAUGUAUUUAAUUCUUUUUCGAGAAAGUUGAGUGAGGGGCAUGGAAAGCUUUGAAAAACCUUCCACAAACCGACAAUAAUAACCAGCCAACCCCAGAAAGCUCCGCACUUUAGAAACACUCGUCGGUGUAGGCCAAUCUCGAAUUGCUUCAAUUUUUUUUGGAUCAACUGCAAUCCCAUCAGCUGAUAUCACAUGCCCAAAAAAGCAAUUUUCCGUAACCAGAAGUCACACUUCUUCAAUUUAGCAUAAAGUUUCUUUUCCCUCAAAAUCUGUAAUACAAUUCUCAAAUGGUCCUCAAAUUCAGCUACACUUCGAGAAUAUAUCAAAAUAUCAUCAAUAAACACCACCACAAAUCUAUCCAAAAACGGUUGAAACACUCGAUUCAUCAUAUCCAUAAACGUGGCUUGAGCAUUUGUUAAUCCAAAUGGCAUUACUGUAAAUUCAUAAUACUCAUACCGUGUUCUAAAUGCCAUUUUGGAGAUGUCCUUAGGUUUAAUCUUCAAUUGAUGAUAUCCUGACUGCAAAUCUAUCUUGGAGUACACAUGAGAUCCUUGCAAUUGAUCAAACAAAUCAUCAAUGCGCGGCAAUGGAUACUUAUUCUUAAUGGUCACCUUAUUCAGCUCUCGGAUUUUCGCGUAUUUGAUGCUGAGUACCGGUACGUACUUGUCGAGUACCUGUACCGAGCCCGAGUAUCGGUACUGCAUCGGGUGAGUACCGGUACCCAGUGUGCGAGGGUGCGGGCUGAAGGCCUGAGUAUCGGUAUUCAAGUGGAGUACCGAUACUCCAGCUGUACUUUUGAGUAGGUGAGGGUAUUUUGGUCCUUUGAUGUGGCGUUCAACCCAAUCUUAUCCUCAGCCUUUAUUAAGGUGUAGAGAGCUCAAAGAGGAGGAUUUUUGUUCUACUCCCCCUCUCUCUCUAGUUUUGGACGUCGCUCGUGGUAGAGGUCGCGGCUAGAGCGUGGGUGGAUUUCGACGUUGCUCCGGAGGGCCAUUCGAGCGCGUGGGCAUCGUGGUUACGCCGUUGGAGGCCGGGUGAGCGCGUAGAUUUCCUCUUUUCGAUUUCGAGCCGACGUUGGACGUGCGAUCGAGGUGGGUUGAUGUUACCGAAAUCGUCGAAUUUCCUUCUAAGUCCUAAAACUGUCAGCAUAUAUGGUUUUCAUGUAUAGUAUCAUGUUUAGUAACUCGAAUUCAUCGAUUGGUAUAGUUGUGUGCAAUCUGAAUUUGGAGCCUUAUUGUUGGAAUAUUUAUUUACAUGUUGAACUUGGAAUUGACUUAGGAGAAAACUCGUUAAAGCUACACCGUCAUGUUUUCAAGAAGUUACCAGAUUUAGCUUAAGAAGCUACUGUACUUUUGUAUCACCGCUAUUAGUACGAGGUGGAUACCCAGAUUAGUGUAGGGUGAGAUUACGCUCGUGCUGAGGAGCCGAGCUCGUGUUACAGUUGAGUGUAGACUGUUUCGUACUGUCGAGUAUCAUCACGGUUGACAGUGGACCCAAAUCUCGGUAUCUUGCACAGAUUGUGCCAAAGGCACGUGAGCUUUGGUUGUUAGACCUGUUUAGACCCAUUUGCAUUGACUACAGCCUAUGAGAGCCUGAUUGAGCUCGCCAGAGACACACUUGCAUACUCGGUUGGGUCGCGCCCACGAGUGCCGCUCCAGAGUCUAGCUACCUUGCUUUGCAUUGAUGUCGUAGUAGUCCGGUUUGGACAUUGCUCUCCACCGACUGCCCUCGGGGUGGUGUACGGUGUAGUUUGGACAGGCGGGACGGGUGUAUCACAGUACCUAGUGAGAUUGGGUCAGUGAGAUGCAUAUUUAUAUCUAUAGAUAGCCUGCGUUGGUUAGUGAUAGUAGAGUGGCAUGUAACCAUAAAUUUCUUUCCAUCUUUCCUUACUAUCCUUUGCACACAUUCUGUAGACUUAGUGGGUGGGCUGUUGAGGUUGGUGGCAGUACCCACUGAGGACUACUUGUUUUAUAAUAAUUCUCACACCCAGUUGUUAACACCUUUUUGAAGAGUCUUCUUUUGUGGCUGCUGCUGUUGUGGAUUCGGACCGUGGAAAGGAAGUCGCGAGCUAGAUCCCUACCAGUUUGAUCGCUGUGCUAGAGGAGGGCCAUCUAGAGGUAGUUUUGGGAUUUUUCUUGUACAUAUUGUUAUGUACAUGUCGGGGUACUCGUUGGAGCGAGUUGUGUUGUGGACCUUUUGUAUGUACAGGAACCCUUUAUGUUAUCUAUAUAUUUCUGUUUUCAGCUCUUACCAUCUAGUUGUAGCUAUGAUUUGUUUAGAGGUACAGCUAUUACUUCGUAUACACGAAAAAUUUCUAUAUAUACGGCGGGUCUGUUGACGUGCUCGAAAAAACGUGGUAAUUCGGGAUGUGACAGUAACCUUGCCAAUUUGUUAAGAUUCAAUAUAUUACACAAAUUUUAUAAUUUUUUGACACCAUUUACCUUACGAUCAAAAGGUCACAAAAUUGUCAAUUUUUAACGGCCGGUAUAAGAUACUUGUUAGUUUAAUGGUGUAAAAGAAUCAGAAUCGGUUGAAUUUUUUAUAGAAAAUUAUAUUCACUAUCUAGAUAAAGAUCAAUAACUCCGAUCUUAUAUUGAAGGAUCCGAUCAUCCAUUUUUAGGACGUCGCUCGAUUUCGACCGUUCAUUUUAUACCCACUUGAUGGAUUUUAUUAUGAUUUCGAAAAAUUACGAAAUUUAUUUUCUAGAAGUUUCAAAUACUCUAGAUCAUAUUUAACGGAGUGGAUCGUCGAUUCGGAAGCUUCAUCAUCGAAAACAACUUAUAAGUACGAAGGACACUAUACUCAUAAGAGUAUAGUAGCCCUGCUCAUAUAUAUAUAUAUAUAUAUAUAUAUAUAUAGUAGGUCUUGUGUGCUAUUAGGAGCACGUUGGCCUCCGUGCACCUAAGCCGUUUUCGAUCAUGGAGCUUCCGAAUCGACGAUCGGCUCAGUUAGACUUGAUCCAGCGUAUUUGAAGUAUCUAGAAAAUAAAUUUUGCGAUUUUUUGAUAUCAUUUACCAAGCGAUCGAAAGGGUUCAAAACCAACGGCUGAAAAUAAAAAUCUCAAAAAAAGUGGUGAUAUAGCGCUAAAAUUUCCGAUUAAAGAUAUUGAUCAUGCAGUAAAUAGUAUAAAGAAAUUUUCUAUCAAAAUUUUAUCCAAUUUGAAUACUUCUACAUCGUUAAACUUGCAAAUGGUAUACAUCAACCAUUAAAAAUUGUUCAUUUUGAACCCUUUUAAUUGCUAGGUAAAUGAUAUCGAAAAAUCGCAAAAUUUAUUUUUUAGAUAUUUCAAAUACACUAGAUUAAGUCUAACGGAACCUAUCGUCGAUUCAAAAACUUCAUUAUCAAAAACGACUUAGGAGCAGGAGGGGUCCGUUCUCCUAAUAGCACACAAGACCUACUCUAUAUAUAUAUAUAUAGAGNCUAUUUAGAACAAGAUCUAUCCUCUUGAUUUUAAUUACAAGACUCCUAUUAUUACUUUUUAAAGAUUUUUAUUUUCAACCAUUUAUUUUUGUGUCCACUUGAUGAACAAGUGAACAAUAUCGAAAAAGUAUGAAAUUUGGUUUCUAGAUAUUUCAAAUGGUAUAGAUCAUAUUCAAUGGUACCAAUCGUCGAUUUGAAGACUCCUUCAUCGAAAACAAAUUUGGUGGCAAUGGAGCCCGUUUGCUACCAAUAGUAUUCCAGCUCAACUCUCUCUCUCUCUCUCUCUCUCUCUCUCUCUCUCUCUAUAUAUAUAUAUAUAUAUAAUUAGGCUGGAAUGCUAUCAAUUGCAUCAAGCUGUUGGUGCUAUUAAGUUUUCGGCACUUGGAUGAAGAAAUAUACUGUUAGGAUGAUGUGGCCCCCUAGGGUUGAAUAAGUUGUCGGUUGAAUAGUAUAAUCUAACGGAUGAAAAUAGUCGACGAAUUAAAUCUAACGGUGUGGAAAACUCGAUAGCACCAAGUUUUUAGUACUAUCGAUAGUAUCCCAGCCGGACUAUAUAUAUAUAUAUAUAUAAUAGGUAUAAUCUUGAUGCACGCCUCGCCGGCCCUCAAGCUAUUUCGCAGGUAUUCGGCACGCCGACAACAGCCCGAACAGACAGAUUCCCUCGGUACCGAUCUAAUGAUGCACACCCUUUGCCACGCCGCGGACCCUAUCUUACUCCGCUGCCUACACUCUCAAGGCGUCCGCCAAUCCAAUACAAUGUACAAAGUUCCCAACCAGGAACACUUUCCAUCAGACCAAAGCUAUUGCAUCAACGAAGAUAUCCCACACCAUAAUCUUGUUAUUACAAGCAUUCACAUCCUCAUAGCAUUACUCACAUCUCCAAAUUACCUCUAUUACAUUCACUCAAUACACAUCCGAUUUAAACAUGAUUAUUAACAACCUCAUGACUUCUCUUUCCAUUUUCUAACAUCACUAAGCAAACGCGAACUCAGGCUAUCCCCAGCUGUAGCUGAAUCAACUCAGGAUUCAUGAGGAGCUCAAGGUGGAUCAGCAACAGGUUGUCCCACGUCGCAUAACUAAGUGAAGCUAAGGUACUCCAUCCCGCCCUCCUCGCGCUGCCCGCGGAAAAAACCGCGCGCCGCAAACUUACCUGUGUAACGGCUGUAACCCAGACCCCCAAAAACAGACGUGGAUGAGAAGCAACUCCAUGGUCCAUCCGGUAUCGACGCCCACCACCAACAGGGAGCUGACCAAUAGUCCAAGGAGGCAACAUGCAAUUAGUUUCAAUAAACAGAUAGAUAUAUAUCUUGAUUACUGCAACAAAUGAAGCAUCGACAUUGCUCACGAAUCAAUUAUGAAGAUCGAUGCAAUGUAUGGCGAUAAACAAUCAGAACUAGUAAUUCAAUCGUUACUAACUUCAUCCAAUUAACAUUUACGGUUUUCUGUCAUUUCAUUUUAAAAUCCAUAAGGUCUCAUAUUACCUUUAUCAAAUAUCACACCCGACCUACGUCUUGAGUCAAUCAUCGCGAAGGAGUGCCGCGUAAAGGCGAACUCGAGCAGGAAUCUCACUUGCAACUCAGCUAAUCCACCAACUAAGGAUAUAUUAAAGCUCAAUACAGUAAUACCCAAUCAACUUGCUAACCCAAAGUUUCGCCCUGAACAAGACUCACGCAAACGCAAAUCGCUAUAACCGGGAGAUACCCGCUAUCAACCGUGGACCGGCCUCAUGGAAAAGCCGAUACAACCCAGUGAUGCAACGAGCACAUCAGCGCACCGAAGGGGAGCUCCACACCUCAGACAAGGAGUAAAGGUCGAAGUAUGAUCAAUGAUCAAAUCCAAAAUCUGAGGAGUCAAUGCUAACUCCAUAUCCUAAUUUAGGCAGACUAUGCUCCAAAUGACCAUAACUCUAAGGUUAAAUUCCUUAAAUAUUUCAUCAUUCUUUCUUUGCAUUCUUAUCUCACUUCACUUGAGUCAUAAUACACUUACGAGAUUCUUGACCAUGUCCACACUGUUUUCUAAAUGUCAACAAACAUAAGUUUCCACAUAUAAUCCUAACAUAGGCCACCAUCUAAUAAUAUAGAUGACCCACGUAGCAAUAAUAGUCAUUAGUCAUUGUUUUUUCAAAAUUCGAUUCUCGAUAAUUCACCUAGCAAGUUUAUACGACACCCAAGUUUCAAAAAAAAAAAAAAAAAAACACAGCUUGUCAUAUUAACACAAUCCAACAAUUUCAAUAUACAUCAUCUAGAUAUUUUACAAUAAAUCAAUAUCAUCACAUCAUAUUCCACAAUAUUGACAUAUAUAUGCCAACAAUUCAUAUAGCACCAACAUGUUUCAUAAAUUAUCAACAUGCAUAUAUACACUCUAACAUAUUACUAUAAUAUAUUUUCAAAUGAUUCAAUUUAAAUUAAAACUCAUUAAUUCAUAUUAGCAUUAUUAAACUUGCAACUCUUACAUACGCAUUUCUACUUGCAUUUUACAUUAACAUGCAUCAUUUUCAUACUUCAUUUACAUCUAUAUGCAUCAACAAUGGAUUCUAUUUGCUUAGACAUAAAGGCGACCUAGUCGCUUCGGAAAGCACAACCCACCUUAAACUCGGGUUCCGAUUGCUUAGUCACUCUGCAUCGCCUCUGCGCGCAGUCAGCUCCGCACCCGGCCACGGCCACGAACUGGCAACUUCACUUCAACCGUGCUCGCUUUCGUGCCCGAAAAUACAUAGUCUUACGGUAUGGGACAAUGCCAGCUCAAAUCCAUUUCCACAAUUUACCUGACGUCGCCGGCCUUCUCGGCGGACCCCGAACUAAACUCCAUUUCUUAAUAAUUGUAACGGCUCGUCGGCAUUUGCGAACCGUCUUGCCAACGCUAAUCUUUACCUAGCAAUUUAGUUUACGAGGGUCAAAUAGAUCAAACGCCAUAUAUUUACAAAAUCCAUCGGAGCCUAACAUUGGCAUAUUAACUCUAAAUAGUCACAAGUAAAUAUAAAACAAAAAAGAGAUGAGCAUGUUAGAAUGCUCAUAUAAAGAAGCUAAUAAACCCUUAGAAAUAAGGAUUAAGCCAAUUGCAUAAAAAGCUUACCUCAAUGUGACGUCAGCGACAAAACCACGCCGCUUCAACGGGCGGAUGAAGCUCAAUCCCUCGCCUCCCAACAAGCGUUCGCAACACUUCUCCACCAACCUCGGAAUAUUGACAGAGAAAUAAGAGAAAUGAGAGCAAAAUCGAGAAGAGAAGGCACGUUUAUCUCUUCCCAUUCUCCAUGCGUGCGUGGGUGUGGGUGUAGUUCCUGAGCUUGAAUGAGAAAACGAAGCACAAUUGACUCUUAUAAUACUUUAACACCCAAAAGCCUAUCACUGUUCAGUCAGUUUUGCAGUUCGACAACAGUUGCGAACGCUCUUCUAAUAUCCGUUGAGGCUCCAAAUUUGGACCAGUCUUCGAAUUACGUACUGAAUAAUAAUACAUAUUUAGUUUAGCUUUGACGUCGUUCGUGCCACAUGAAAACUGAACCGAAACGUAAUCUUUAUCAUAAGCUGUCGGAUUAUUUCUCACAUGCGUCGUCUACCGGUGUCAGUAAAAAUAUGAAAACUUUAAAUCAUAGUCUAUAAAAUAUUCUACUAUUAUCACCAAUUUUUCCAUAAAAUUUGAGACUGGUGCAUUUUCGGCUAAUUUAUCUGUUCCGUAUUUCCAAAACAAAAUUCUAAAAUCUACUUUCAUUCCGAUUUCUGCACACAGUCCAUUCUGACUACUAUGUUACUUUCUAUAAUCUCAUAAAAAUAUUUACUCAAUAUUUUAUUAUUUUAUUUUUAUACCAAAUCUGGACGUUACCAUAUAUAAAAUAAAUAUAUUUAAUAAUAUACAUAACUAUAUAUUAAUUAUUUAAUAGAUAAUAUAAAUAUAAUAUAUUAAAGAUUGGUUAUUUAUAUAAACAAGAUUUCGAAAUACGAGUGAACUGAUUUUAAAUCGUAUUCGGCUCGUUUAUUUAAACGAGCUAAAAAAUUCAACUCAUAUUCGACUUAUUUAGGAGAAGAGCGGUUCGAUCUCGGCUUCAUUUCGAGCGGAGUACGAAUUGGCUAAGAAAUAGCGAUCAGGAUUGCCACCUAGCUAAUACUUGGAGUCCCGCGUAAGUGGCAGGUUAUUAAAUUCCAAGACAGUUGGAGGGCAAAACGGGAAAGAGAGCGCAGCUUCGCGGCACCAGGAUACUGGGGCUCUAAGAGGUCCAGCAUUUUCCCCAGCGCCCCCACGUAAUCUGUCAGAGAGAAAUACUACACUGUUAUACUUGUACCAUAUCAUUAAUAACAAGCUAAUCACAUUCCUUCUUUUCAAAUAAAAAUAUAAUAAAAAUAUUUUUUUACAAUCAUGAUGGAUAUAUAUUUUUAAAAGAAUUAAUUUGAUUGAUUUGUUACGUCACGUCACUAAUAUACAUGUUGCAUUCCAGAAUUUUUCAUAAACGGACCAAUCACGUCCCCCUUUGUAGCCAUACAAACUUGGUCUUUGAUGACGUGGUGAACCUGGUCUACGAGAGUAAUCAGACCUACAAUUGAAGGCGUAAUCCAUCGAACACGUCGACAUGAUGCCACGCUCGCUGGGCCGUAUGAUACGGCCAACGUGGUCCCCAGAAAUUUUCGCGCGUUUAGACGAUAAUACCCCUCGUCGGCUCCCGAAANAAUUUUCGCGCGUUUAGACGAUAAUACCCCUCGUCGGCUCCCGAAAGGGAAAGCAGUAAGUUAUGGGUAAAUUGUAUGAUAAAGCCUUCUUUUUUUUUUAAUUUUUCAAUAUAUUAAAAAUCAAAGUCUAAUUCAAGCAAAAAGAAAUUUACCAGAACUCUUCCAAUUUCUAGUCGACUACCUAAUGUUUCAAAAUUUUGAUAUUGCUACCAAACCUUUCGAUUUAUUUUAUUGGAUUCAGUCUAUACUACUUUAUUUUUAAAAUUUAAAUUAUAAUUGAUUAUUUUGAUAAAUUUAUAAUUAUAAGAAUUAUCUGAAAUAUACUAACUAAAUCUAUAAAAGUAAAUUAUAAAUUCAAAUUUUAAAGUCAAAAAACUAUUGACAAAUUCAAAUCAAAUAAAUUAAAAAAUUGGAUAGUAAAAUUAAAAAUUUUUAAAAUUUUGAUAAUCAACUAAAAAUGAUCGGUACUUUAAAUAAAUUUUAGAAAUUUUUACUUAAUUAGAAAGUAAGAAAAUUGAUCCAGAGUCACGUAAAAGUUAAGAACCUACUUGUGCCCCCUUGCAAUUAAGGGCUUAAUUAAAAAUUAGAUUAAAAAAAAAAACAAAUACCACUCUUGUGUUUCAGCAUUUUUUUAUUUUAGUUUACUAUAGUUUAAAUUGUAUCAUUUUAAUAUUUAUAGUUUUUUUUUUCUUUUUCGUAAUCCUCUCCGUUAAUUUUUUAUUAAAUAAGUGAGAAAAUUAAAAUCACAAUAUACUAAAGUAAAAAUAUCGUAAACUAUAAGAUAGUAAAGUAAAUAUUAGAACCUACUUGUGCCCCCUUGCAAUUAAGGACUUAAUUAAAAAUUUGAUUAAAAAAAAAACAAAUACCACUCUUGUGUUUCAGCAUUUUUUUAUUUUAGUUUACUAUAGUUUAAAUUGUAUCAUUUUAAUAUUUAUAGUUUUUUUUUUCUUUUUCGUAAUCCUCUCCGUUAAUUUUUUAUUAAAUAAGUGAGAAAAUUAAAAUCACAAUAUACUAAAGUAAAAAUAUCGUAAACUAUAAGAUAGUAAAGUAAAUAUUAGAACCACUUAGCGCCUUGCAAUUAAGGGCUUAUUGAAAUUAGAUAAAAAAAAAACAAAUACCACUCCCUGUGUUUCAAUUAUUUUUAAUUUAGAUUUUCUAAUAGUUUAAAUUGUUAAUAUUGUUAAUAUCUAUAGUUUUUUUUUCCUUUUUCGUAAUCCUCUCCGUUAACUUUUAUAUUAAAUAAGUGAGAAAAUUAAAAUCGAACAAUAUACUAAAGUAAAAAUAGGCGUAAACUAUAAGAUAGUAAAGUAAAUAUUAGAUAAAUCAUAAAAAUUGUCUAAAUUUUUUUAUAUGUUCUAAAAAAAAAGCUUAAACGGAGUUCUAAUGAAAGAAAAAAUAAAAAUAAAAUUAUAGAGUAAUAAAGUGAUAAAUUUAAAUUCUAUCGUAAUAAAAUAAUAAACAAAAAAACCAUAAGGAAAUAUUUGAAAUUUUUUUUAAAAAAAAAAAAGAAAAGUUAACGACCUUGGGUAAAUUACCCACAAAAUUUAGGAAUAAUUCCAGAUUAAAGAGUUGCCGUACGAUUGGGCCUUCGUGUAAACAAUCAGGGGCAAUGUUGUACUUCCAGUGGGAAAACAAACUCACAGUGACUUGACCCGCAAGCAUGUCAAUCCCUUCGACCGUCCUAAAAAUUAUCCCACUUGCCAAAAUACCCUCACCGCCUCACGAUUAUUACGAAAACACACCGCCCCCCGCUCCGUCCUUAUAUAAGCAAUUCCCCACCGCGUCCCCUUCGCUCUCCUCCUCCUCCCUAUCUAAACCCUAAACGCGACUCGUUCAAUCCCCGAUGCGUCUUCGUCUCCCCUCGACCCCCCGAAACCCUACCCGAGUAUGAUUGAGUAGAAGGUUCGCGAUGAGCAUGGCGGCGGCGGAGGCGGCCGGCGGUGAUCCCCCGGUGGUGUUCUUGACAGGGCGCACAGAACAUCAACCCUCGGCACGGUGGCGGUGACCCGCACGCUGGGGUUCAAAGAGGUUCCAAGCGGCGAUCGCGCAGCGGAUGCGGGGUGCGCCGCACCAGAUCUCGGCUCGCCUGGUGUCGGCCCGCGGUGCGGCGCGGACGGCGGCGGCGGAGCUGAGCGGGAGGAGGAUCCCGAUCGACGGGUCGUCCGACCUCGCCGCGAUCGCGCGCGACGCGGGGAUCCUACGUCUCGGCCGCGCUCCGAAGGCCGCGGCGGAGGGGGAGCGGUGAUGCCGCCGGGGGCCGGAACGGCGAGCGAAUAAAAGGCGCGACGGCGCCGGAGAAGAAACGAUUUCUUAGCGGAGCGCGGCGUCGGGAUCCCCCGAUGAUCGUCGCCGCAUCGCCGUGAGGCUGGGGCUAGAGUUAGGUUUCUGGGACUAACGAGACUCAGCUCCGGAACCUCCAGAGGCAGCGGGAGUCCUACCCUCCUCUCCACGGCGGCGGCGGCGGAUACCUACGCCUACGGCGGCGCCGCCGCCGCGCGGAGCCGGAUGAGGAGGAGCGGCGGCGUGUGCUGCGGAGAGUGCGAGGCGGCGGAGAGCAGGGAGGGGGCGGAGUUCCAUGGUGCGUGAGGACGCGGUGACGAGGGGGUUCCGUUCGCUCCCUGGCCCCACGAGAGGCCCCCGAAAAGCGCGUCGAAGCUUCCGCUUAGGUGGCGUACGCGCAUUCGGAUCAGGUCGCCGCCUCAAACCCUAAUUCUCUCCCUUUUUUUUUGCUUUUUUUUUUGCACUUUUCCCCCUAAAUCAUUACUAUUAUUAUUACCACUAUUUUAAAAUCCAAGAGAGAGAGAGAGAGAGAGAGAGAGAGAGAGAGAGAGAGAGGAAGAAGAUUUUCUGUUGAGAUCAGUAUGGGGCGGGGGUUUUUGUCAUUUGUGGUAUAGGUUGGGAGACACGUGUAGGUUUAGGAUAAGCGGUCUAAUUAGCCGUCAGAGAGAGAGAGAGAGAGACUCUUCAUUUGUGGAUAUUUUGUAGUUAGUGGUGGUGGUGGCCUGGUGGGUGUAAUUUGCUGGGAUUUGGUAAAAAAAACAUGAUGUAAUAAAAUUAGGAGAGAGAGAGACGAGAAAGAAGAGGGAGAGGAGGGGUGGGGGAUUAAGUGGGUCCACAUUAACGAGUGUGUGCUGUGGCUGUUGGUUUGACUGUUCUCCCCUUUGAGAUGAAAUGAAAUGAAUUGUUCUAGAACAAAAUAUCUAAAUAUAAACAAACCAAAAAAAGAAAGAAAGAAGAGUGGUUUUGUAUUUGUUGCGACACUGUUUCUUAUGGGGCCUCAUCUGCAAUCUGGAAUGGUCUGAAUGCCCAACAUGAGCUGGUUUGAUAACCACCUGGAAAAAUAUGACCAAACAAAUGAACUGUUUGGAUAUCUUGGAUCUCUUUGUAAUUACAUUUUUAAUGUUAAAAACAUAUUAAUAUCAUUCUUUUCCACAAUAAAGAAAGAGAAUGAAUGGAAGUAAAAAAAUCGAAUAAAUUAAUAAGGAAAAAAAAGAAGAGUAUAAAUAUAAUGUGUGUUUUUGUUUAUUGUAUAAAACAGAACCAAAGCUAUUUGUUGGUAAGUAGUUUUCAACACAACAUUACCGCUAACUAAGGAGAUCCCAAUUUGGAUGUUCAGAUUUGUAUAUAUUUUAUUUAAUUGGUGCAAUAAGUGUGAAAUUGUAUGAAUAGUGUCCAACUGUAGUAAUUAGAAUAGACAGAAUCCAAAAAUUUAUAGUAGGAGUUCGGCUGUAGGCAAAUUGAGGAAGUAGCAAGUAAAUUGUAAGGAAAAAUAGAAACCUUACCGUCAUAGAUUAUGAUUUAUAAUAAAAAGAGAUAUUGUUUUUUAUAUAAAGUGACGAAUAUAUAAAAAUAUAUUUUAAACUGUACUCCAUAUUUCUUCUUAUUAAAAAAAAUUAUUAUAUCGAGUAGUCAUUUUCUAUUAGAAUCUAACCAAUAAAAGUAUAUAAUAUAAUAUGAUAUAAUUUUCAAUGACGUAAUCUUAUUAAAAAUUUAUCUUUAUUUUCAAGGAUGUUCAAGCCAAACGAUUUCAACUAACUUCUCGCACAGCUAAUAUUGUACUGGAGUUAUAUCAAUCGACAAAGUCAGCCCUAAAAAUUAAAACAACGCUCCUAGCUGGAAAACGUGGAAAUUAAAACUCAGCUGUGAGUUCAUGUUUGGUAUCAAAAUUGUUGAACAGCGUGGUGUUUGGAAAUUAAUUUAUCUACUAAACACCAUGGUAGGACUUGCUUAGUCAGAAUUAACAUUUGCUUUGAAAAAAAUAAGACUUCAAGCAAUUGCGCUUUUACACGGGCCGCGAAGUGGCAAAAAGAUUUGAUGUUGAUAAAUUGUUCAACAAAUUUCUAUAAUUUGAAAGUCUAGUUAUUUCAUGAUUUUUAACUAAAAUCUUAUUUGAUAAAGAAAUACAACGAUGGAUAAUAUGUACUUUUCUCUUAAAAAAAUUUUCACAAAUAAAAAAAGAUGGCCAUUACUAAAAGGGAAAUGAUUGUAAUUAUAUUGGUAGCUGGCAAAACAGAAAUCAGAAAUUAAAAGGCUGCUUUUCAUAGUCUGAGGAAAACAUAAAGACGAUUUUAUAAAAAAUAGAUAAUGAAAAUAAUCAGUAAAGUAUCUGUUUGUUCGGGAUCAAAGUAACAAAAAGUGCCUAUUCCAAUGGAUAAAUAUAAAUUGAGGUAUACAACUGGGAAUUAGAUCAUUUUGUGUUUGGAUGAAAAUUGGAUUAUUCUAGAAUAAAAAAAUAGCGUUUGGUUAGGUAAGAGGAAUAAAAAUGACUGGAUGGUUUUAUAAAGUAAAAAUAAUGAUAAUUACCACCUUAUUAUAUUUGAAUUUGAAUUUUUAAAUUAUAUUUUUAAAUUUAAAAUUUUAACUUUGAAUUUUAAAAUUUAAAUUAAAAUUUAAAUUAAAAUCUCAAAUUUAAAUUCAAAAUUAAAUUUUAUAUUUCAAAAUAUAAUUUAAAUCAAAAUUUAAAUUUCAAAAAAUAUCCAAAAUAGUCAAAUUUUAAAUUUUAAAAAAAUUUAAAGAUAUUAAAAUUUAAGUUAAAAUUUGAAAUUUAGAUUUAAAAAUUAUAAACUUUAUAUUUUGAGAUAACAAAUUAUAAAUUUUUAAAAAUUCACAAAUUUUAAUUUUAAAUUUUAAAUAAAGAAUAGGGCGGAAACGCCAUUAAUAAAAAUAAUUAUAUUAUAAUAAAUUUAUAAUUUUUUUUAAAAUUCUACUUAAACUUUAAGGCCAAUUUGCAUAAAAAGUCCACAUAUUUGAUUUUUUGCAAAAUCGGCGCAUUUUUUCAAUUUUUUCGCAGAUUCGUCACGGCUUUUUCAUCAGCAAACUGACCAAGAAUACCCUUAUACUUUUUCUCAUUAUCCUCUUCUCUUUCUUCUUCGUUUCUUCUCGGUUCUUUUUUUUUAUCAGCGGUAGAUGGCGGAGGAGGAGCGGAGGCAAAAACGAUCCGUCUCGCCUAUCUCACCCUCAUACCUCGCCCUCAUGCCCUUGGGGCCCAUCGUGCCAUGCACCCCCCACCUUCCUCUGCCUGUUCGACCCGUAUAGAUGCCGCGCCGGACUUUUUUUUUUUUGCUUUUCUUCUUAUUCUUUUCUUCUACCGACUCUCUCUCUCCACCGUCUCCGAGACUGCAUCCUCUGCCGUCCCUUCCCACACCUUCUCAUACUCUCCCUCUCCCUCAUUUUCAGCGCGCCUUCUCCGACGACGAUUUAUUUUCGCCGGCGCGACGUCUUGAUCACCGUAAGGUUCUAUUCUGCGCGCUUACAGCCGUCGGACGGGGGUUCCUUAGCGGCGUCCGCCACCGCGCGUUCACUCGCUCCGUAGCUGUUUUGGCAGAGAGAUUGACAAAAAAAAUUAUAUAAAAACAGAAAAAAAAUAAAGAUAAAAAAUUAUAUAAAAAAAAUGAUGGAGAUAAAUUACAUCAUUAUUACAAAAAAAAAUUAUAGAGUUUGCACCAUUGUAAGAUGUAAACUGCUGCUUCUUAGAUAAAAAUUAUACUACUUGAACGAAAUAUACAUUUUAUCUUAAACUGGCAUCCUUUAAGUGAUAUUUGAUACUUUUCUUCUCUUGUUGCAAAUGUUCUCCACUUUGUUGCACUUUUACCUCUAUUUAGACACAGAAAUGGUGCAACCAAGAAGCAGAAAACAUGCAACAAGAGGAGAAACAGUAUAAAUAUCUCUUAAAAGGGUGCAGUUUCUCUUCUUAUUGUAUUAUUUCUCCUCUUGUUGCACUAUUUCUCUUAUUGUUUACACAGAAAUGGUGCAAUAAGAGAAGAAACAGUGCAACAAGAGAAGAAACGGUAGAUAUAUCUCUUAAAACAGUGCAGUUUCUCCUCUUGUUGCACUAUUUCUCCUCUUGUUUACACAAAAAUGGUGCAACAAGAGGAGAAACAAUAUAUAUAUCUCUUAAAACAGUGCAGUUUCUUCUCUUCUUGCACUGUUUCUCCUCUUGUUGCACUAUUUCUCCUCUCAUUUACACAGAAAUGGUGCAAUAAGAGGAGAAACAGUAUAAAUAUCUCUUAAAAGGGUACAGUUUAAGAUAAAAAAUAGUAUAACCAGAGGAGAAAUGGUGCAACAAGAGGAGAAACAGUGCAACUUUUGUUUAAAAAGUGUAACUUUCAUCUUAAUGGAUGCAGUUUACAUCUAAAAGAGUGUAAUAAGAAGAGAAACAGUGUAAAUAUUUCUCAAAGAGUGUAGUUUUCAUCUUAAAGCUGCAGUUUACAUUUUAAAUAGUGCAACUUAUAAUUUUUUUUGCAGUUAACGAUACAAUUUGAUGUUCAUCCUUCUUUUUAUAUAAUUUUUUAUCUUUAUUUUUUUUUUCUGUUUUUUCUAUAAUUUUUUUUUGUCACCUUCUCUGUCAACAGCCACGGUGCCGGCGACGACAACAGCCAAAAUCCCUUGCUAUUCCAGGAUAAUCGAGAAUAGUAAAAUUUGAUCGGAAUAAAAUAUCCCGAUAAUAAAUCUUUCCGUUUGGCGGAAUAGCGGGGAUAAUUUUCAUUAUCCCCGCUUAUCCCCUGAACCAAACGUGGCCAAAGAGUAUGAAGCAGGUGGUUAUUUACAGCGAAUAAUGUUAUGAAAUUGUAAAAGAAGCAAACUAAAUUUUUUUUUGGCAUAAUGAUUACUUUUUUAUUUUUUUUUCAAGAACUAUUUGGAUACACAGAGAUAUUUGGAUACUCAAAAUAAAAUAAAAUUGUAUAGUACAUUAUAUAUUUCCUGAAAUNAGUUUCGUUUGGAAAUUAAUCUUACACUAAACAGUGGUAGGACCUGCUUAGUUCAGCUUAACAUUUGUUUUGGAAAAAAAUAGACUUCACAGUUGCCUUUUACACGGGCCGCGUAAGUGGUAAAAGAUUUGAUGGUUGAUAUUCAAAAUUCUAAAUUUGAAGUCUAGUUAUUUCAUAUUUUUAACUAAAUUUAUUUAUAAAAGAAAUAAACGAGUGGAUAAUAUCUUACUUUUCUCUUAAAAAAUUUUCAAAAUAAAAAAAAAAUGCCAUUUACUAAAGGGAAAUGAUUUGGAAUUAUAUUGGACUGCAAAAGAAAGUAGAAAUAAAAAUGUUGCUGUUUCUUGUUGAGGAAAACAUAAAACAUUUUAAAAAAUAGAUAAUUGGAAAAUAAUCAUAAAGAGUAUGAAGCAGGUGGUUAUUUACAGCGAAUAAUGUUAUGAAAUUGUAAAAGAAGCAAACUAAAUUUUUUUUUGGCAUAAUGAUUACUUUUUUAUUUUUUUUUCAAGAACUAUUUGGAUACACAGAGAUAUUUGGAUACUCAAAAUAAAAUAAAAUUGUAUAGUACAUUGUAUAUUUCCUGAAAUUUUGAAAUUUUUAGGGGAAAAUAAAAUUUCAUUUUUAUCUAUGCAAGAAAGAGAAAAUAAACCAAGGCUUUCCAACAAAAUAAAAUUAGUGUAUUUAUAAAUAGGUAACUGUCUAUUGUAACACAACUUUCGAGUUAAAAGAAUUAUUUUAUAAAUGUUUUUAUGAGUUACCGAAUACGUUCUAAAGUGUAAAAGGAAAGGGCCAAUGAUACCUUUACUAUUUCAUAAGUUUAAUAUAUUUAGUAAGUUAUUGAUAAGAUCGGCAUAUAGAUAUUGUUUCAGAUUCUAGAAAUUGUCACGAAAUUCUAUGUGACCAAAAUGUCGAUUAAAUAUAUAUAUUUUUUUUUUUUUAAGUACACGAAAUAAGGGUCUGCCUGGAUACUCCACAAAACAGAGUAAUAAUUAAUUUAAAGUGUAUCUUUUACAACUCUUGAAAUAUUGCAAGAGGCAUAUUUGGAUAAGUUUUGAAAUAGUAAAAAAAAAAAAAAGGUAAUUAACUCAAAAUAGAGUUUUAUAUAUAUAUAUAUAGAGAGAGAGAGAGAGAGAGAGAGAGAAAAAGAGAGAGUCAAGUUCAAAUAACAAAAGUGUAAUAGUUAAUAGUAUUACAUUCUUUUUGAAUCAUAGAUCUAAAUACAAUUCAUGGGUUGAGAUAAACCAAUGGCAACUUUUUUUGUUUCUAUAUUAAAAUACUUUUUUUUACUCGAUGUGACAUUAUUUUACUAGCCUUGGAUGUGACACCACUUUCUUACCUCCAUCUUUUUUUUUUUGUUUCCGAGCAUAAAAGUUUACAUAAUAUUUUUUAUCUCAUACUUAGAUAUAAGGUUUGUUACUAUAAUUAUCUACAUUAACUUAAUUUUAUGUGCACAUAAAACAUUCAUUUUUCAAAAGUGUGAAAGCAUAUAAAGAAGUUUAACAGUAAAAUAUAUUAUAAGGAUUAUUGCUAUAAUUGGUUCUUGAACUUUACUUUGUUAAUAAUUUCUUGAAACUUUUAUUCAUUUAAUGUGAAUUAUUACAGUCAAUUAAAUUUAAAUUUUUUAUUAAAUUAAAUUUCAGUGUAUUAAAAUCAAUUGCAACCAUCCAAAAGCAUUGAAAGAAAUAAAAUAUUGAUGAUUUUUUAUCUAAAUAUUGUUAGUUUAUUAUAUAAAUUAUUUUUUUAAAAAAAUUUAGCUUAUAUUAGAAAUUAUUAAUUGAACUGUGCAUGGAAUGUGCGUACAAGGUUCUCUCAAUUAGUAAAGAAAAACUGAUUACAUAGUGAAUUUACAAUGGAGGAAAAAAAAAAAGAAAGUGAAAUCCAAGGUUAUUGUAGUGAUGUCACAUCCUAUGGAGGAGAAAAUAGUAUUUUAACAAAGAAACAAAAAGUUGCCCAUUGUUUUAUCUCAACCCUUAGAUUGUAGUUAAUCUAUGGUUCAAAAAGAGUGUAAUACUGUACACUAUAACAUUUAUGUUAUUUGAACUUGACUUAUAUAUAUGGAGUUGAGUUAGAAUACUAUCGAUAGCAAAUGGGCUUUGUUGCCACCCAUUUGUUUUCGAUGAUGGAGCACCCAAAUAAACGAUCGACACCGUUUAACAUGAUCUAUACCACUUAAAGCAUCUAGAAAUCAAAUUUCACACCGGUUUCUCUAACCGAUUUCUGCACCACAACCGAGCUAUAGUCAAAGCUCCGAGAAUUCCUACAACAAUCUGGAGUCUCUCGAAUCAAGAAGAAACCUAUCACCAACCACAAAUUAACCCACAACACACUAAUUUAGGUAUUAGAAUAACCGCAUACGAUAUAUGCCUCAACGAAAACUUGACACCAAAACUGUGUCAAUCCGACUCUAGUAGGAAGAAUGAACGAGGUAAAGGUUAAAAGAUCCGAACCGCUUAUUCCAAUCAUCAAUCAAGGAGGAUAGGUAGGCAUCACAACCCCACCCAAAGGUCUCCGGAAGCAACACUAACAAUGUAGUCACUGAAACGACCGCUAUCCAAACCCUGGGCUACACCCUAGUAGCCCCACUGAAGUCGCGACCGUAACUGGUCUAAGCACCGUCUCCGUAGAGACAUUCGCAGUAGCUCUCGUGUCCUAAGUAGAGAGAGUAGCCUGGGCAUCGGCAGUUAUGACACUCGCCUAGGCCCGAAAAUCUCACUUGGCCCUUCACGGCCCCACCUAACAGGAGUGGCAACACCUGGGGAAUAUCGUCCCACCACUCGAUGUCCGAAUAAGUACACCGCCACUACUCCCGACUUAGACACCAGCUUGUGCGAACCGUAACACCUACAGAAACCAUGCACUUCGGGUUUAACCCAACUCGAAUGCACGCCGGGACACAAGCCCAAACCCCGCACUCACGUGCCUAUAUAUCGUAGGUCUUCCUAUGGGUCAACCUAACCAAUGGUUCAGUUUCAUUUACUUUUCAAAACAAGCUGUGAAUGGUGUUGUGGUUGUAAUCUGGCUCUGAUACCACUUUAAUCUGUCACGCCCUGGGGUCCCUUUUUAGUUUAAAGCAUAGCGGAAAAGCGUCUGAAAUUUUUUUUUUUUUUUUUUUUGAAAACCUAACCCCAGAGUAUGCCAGAUCCGCCACAAAUACAGGAGAUCCACUGUUCACACGGAUAGAGUCUCCCCUGUAUUUGCACGGCGUCGCACAAGUACAAAAAUACAACCAGGAUACAACCACAACUAGAUGAACAUCCAAAUGACCAACAGAUAUACAUUUAUACACUAUUCACCACAGGUUCACAUUAAUACAUUCGAUAUUUAAAUAUAAAUCCACAGAAAAUUUUUUGAAAACUGUUCCCUACACAGGAACUUUUAUCUUUAUAAAACGCUAACACGAGGGGUAGAAAACCUUUUAUUUUACAAAAUCCAAAAAUUCUUUUAUUACAUUCAUGAAAAUCUACAUAUUCAAAUAUAAUAAAAAUACUGAACCAGGUAAACUAUCUAAACUAUGUCAACAGAAUAGUAAGGGUAGGAACUAAACCAAUAAUCUGGGUCGGAAGCUCUAUCGACCGUUACGAACGUACCUCACGUCUCGUCCCAAAACUUAUCGCCUGCAAUACCUGAAAAAUGGUGGGGGAAGUGAGAACAUGUAAACAUGUCUCCCCUCCCAGUGGGUACCGCAAGCCGAAGAAGGCGAGGAGUACUCACCGGAUCAGGAAGAGAGCUAUACAACAACACGGAGAACUAGAUAGACAUAAGUGCUGGUAAGUAAAGAUGCUGAUAAGUAAGGAGCUGACAAGUAUAGAUGCAGGUAAAUAAAACAGUAGCUACAAUAAACAGAUAAGGAUGUACUGGAAAUAAACACUACAGCUACUGUAUGCAUGCGUCAACUGACGAUAACCUCAAAAGUACCCAAUCUCGCUGCCCUAUUGGUCCGAAGACCUCAGGCCCAUGCCACACUGCUCAACCUGUACCUGACCCUCGCAAUGAAGCCCCUGGGUCAGAAGCACAGUACCUGACCCUCGCAAUGAAGCCCCUGGGUCAGAAGCAUAUACCCUCGCAAUAAAGCCCCUGGGCUCACGGGUUGGCAAUCCAACCACUUUUCCGGAAAAGAACACCCUCUUGCGGUGGAUCAGACCGCUGGUGUUCGUGAAAUGCGUACCUGGAGUGGCGAUCAAUGUAGUAUGCUCAAAGAUCUUCCAUCGGCAACUAGCCGACAAUCCAGCCCCUCAGGGCACAUCGACCGUAUAGGUCAUCAGCAACUAGUCGGCUACGUAUGUCAAGAUAGAACUGUAGCAACUCGACCGAAUAGAUCAUAGAUAUCAAAAUAGGGGAACCACCCAACUAAAUCACAGAUAUAGUGAACAGAUAAGUCAACUCUACUUCUAAGUAUGAUAUCGACAUGAAAAUAACUGAGUAGAGGAAUGCAGAUAAAAUGCAGGUGCAAGGUUCAAUAUAACUGUAAGGUAGAGUAAACAGUAGGGGUGAAGAAGCGUCACCGAGCGUGCACCACUGUACCAAUACGGGUCGAAGUACCUACCUGUACAACUGUCGCGCCUGUCUCCUGACUGCAAAAGAACGUCAACCGGACCUAAGGAAGGUCCACUGGGUUAGUAUCUAACCCACAACUAAGAAACCCUAAAAGCAUACUCCCAUAAUUAAACCCACGAGAAUCGGUUUCCUAAACCGAUCGCCGUAAUACGCUCGAAAUCCCGUAAUCACACCGAGACUCUGCUGAGACCCAUGGACUGUCCCGGAACUCAUCGACUCGUACUACGAGUCACCCGAUGCCCGAAAACACAUCAAAUUGGAUGUCUAGGAAGCAACAAAACUAACUCACAUUGAAACGAUUAUCGUCGAAUAAUCGUUCCGAUCCGGGUUUCCGGAAGUGUCAAUUUCGACACUGGAACCCACCGUCGCUCACCCGUCAUUUCUGAACUCUCGAAAUGAUGCGAGUGACCAGCCAAUAAGGCUCAGCGACCACGCAAUAGCUCACGAAGCACCGUCGGAAGAAUUCCGAACUAAAACCGCGUUUCGUCGGCGGAUUUUGCCGACAAACGCACCAGAAAAGUAUUUUUGAUCUCCGCAAAGGUCUGAGGCCUUGGACAAUCAGUCCAGAGGUUACCCACUGCCCGCGCACACUGCCAACAGCAGCCACAAAAUAAACAAUUGCACAAAAACCCUCCCGAUUACCCGAAAUCGCAUUAUUUCAUACGAUUUAGGCUCUUUUAUGGUCCGUCUGCACAAACCAGAAGUCAUUCAGCCAAACCGAGACACCUACUGACAGGUCUCGGCGUGCCGGAGGCCGUGCUCACCUUUCGGAGCAAUUCCGGCCACUGUGGGGAGCGCACGAGCGACGCGAAAUUCAGUAAACUACGCGCACAGCAUGAAAAUCAUGCUUAUCUCGCUAACCAGGGGCUCGCUGACCCUAAUUGAGGUGAGCACUGUGAUCAGCACUGACUGACGAUCACCAUGCUCACUUCCGGAGGCAUCGAAACAGCCUCGGGUCGCCGGAACAGUAUACACAACCCCAAACAGUGCACAAUAAUUGCAAUACAAGCUUACCGAAGCUAGGCAGGGCUCGGGGUGGCCGGCGGCGGCCGGACAGCGGGCAGGCCGGCCAGGGGAAGGUGCUCCAGGUCAGAGGAGGCCGGGGCUCGCGUCAACAGGCGACGGGAGGCGGCGACGACGGCGGGCAUUGAUGCCCUUGCUUCCCAAACCCGUGGAGAGCAAGGGCCCAGUCCGGCCAGUAGAUGGUUUCGGCGGCGGGAGCGCCGGUGGUGGGCGAGUGCGGCCAACCAAGGAGAGGGGGUGCUCACGCCGGUCGGUGGCGGAUGGCGGUGGUGGCGGCGCUGGAGCAACCCGAGCUCUCGCGGGCUAGGCUCAGGCUCACAGGGUGGCGGCGGCCACGGCGGCGACCGGGGAAGGCUUGGUACGGCGACGACUCGUCGCCGGAGGCUGAGGGGAAGGUGGCGCGCACAGCCUAGGGCGGCGGCGGCGCACGGAGGCAGUGCGGGGUCAUCUCAGCCCGAGCAGACCUGGGGCGGCCGCGGUUGACAGAAGAGGCGGCAGCGGCCCUCAGAGACGACGGCGACGAUGGACGGGGGUCACCGGGGCUCCGGGGAUAGCGGCGCUGCCGAGCUAUGGCGGCUGUGGUGUGAGGAGAGGGAGAUGGGGCUGCCUCAGCCUGGGUUCGGGCUGGGGUGGCCGCAGGCUGCAGAACCAGCAGCGGCGGCGCAGGUGACGGCGGCAGGUGGCGGCGACCGGCGGGAACGACACCGGAGAUGGAUCUCGGCCAAGAGGAGAUGGUGCUCGAGCUAGGGUCGCUUCCCGGGUCCGCAACCACACUGCGGUGAAGUGGUUGGCCGAGAGGGAGAGAGAGGGAGAUGAUGCAGGUAUUUCCGCCGGUCGGAAGUGCUCGUCGGCGGCCGGAGCAUGCUCAGGGAGAGGGCAGGGAGGUGGAGGAAGUGCUGGUGGCGUAGCUAGGGCAUUGGAUCGGCUAGGGUUAGGGUUUCCUGUUUGGAACCCUAAUACCUACACCUAUUUAGAGUGAAAAAUUGCAGAAAAGUCCCCCAAGUCUUUCUAUUUUUAGUCCAGUCCUUCACCACGCGUGUAAUAUGCGCGUAUGCACCUCGACGUUCAAAAUUACACGAAACGGUACAUAAAAUAUGGGGACUUUUGCGAAAAUUCCGAUUUGCCACCUUGGACCCCUCAGCGAACAUUUCGCGUUUCCCGAAAAUUCGUCCGUCGGAUUUUCGAUCCGACAGCGCCAUCGCGUUCAGCACGACGGGGGCAUCGAAACUAAGAUUUCGUUUCAUCCGAUUUGCUUGCUGAUUUGCGACAAAAUCUGACCUCUCUCCAACUAAUCCAUAUAUCACACAUAGGCCUUGGUGGAAAACCGAAAUCCUUUAAUUCAAACUCAUAUUUGAAUUCCCUACCACCAGUAGGUACCUGAAACAUCCUUCCCCCUACUCCAGGUCACAUACACAGAUCACGAGGGGUGUCAUAAAGCAAGAAUAGCGAAGAACGAAAACCCUCUUUUUGAUAAAACCCCUUUUUCUCGAAAAUCGUACGUCAGAUCUGAAAUCCGUCAAUGCCAUUGGUUCCAGAAUAGCUAACCCGAUUGAAACGAGCUAUUGGAUCGCUAUGAACGGAGUUCGAUACGCGCCGAAAGCCAACUCUACUCCGUGGCUUCACCGAAAAACCGGAGUUACUAUUCACUUAAGUGAAAACUAAUAAUCGCGUAACUUCUCCGUUUUAACUCAUUUCCUCCUAAAACUUGACGAGUGCUUAUGUAAUUAAAUUACACACAUAAACAUCAUCAACAGAGAGUUUAGUAGCACUGUAAAAAUCUCAGUCCUUACACAAUUCCAACUUACUUUUCUCUCUCUUUCCUUUUUCUCUCUCUUUCUCUCUCUCUCUUUAAGGAUACAUAUAAAUAUUUUACAAAUUUUUUUAAAAUCGGCAAAAAAUGGUAAAAAUUUUAGGACAAAUCUUGUAUUUUUUUUUUACAUAAUUUAAAAAAUCAGUAAAAAAAUAUAAAAUCGAAGAAAAUUUUUAAUUAAUUUUUUUUUGCAGAAAAAAUAGAAAAGUUUUUAGCACCAAUCUUGUAGAAAUUUUUUUUUAUAAAAAUUUAAAGAAAUAGAUAGAAAAAAAGGAAAUACAAGUUUCUUGUAAAUUUUUUAAAAGAUACAUGUCAUGAAAUUUUAGAAAUUUUAAUUCAAUAUAAAAAUUUUAGAAAAUGCGAUGGUGGUUCCGCGGGUGGAUUUGGACGGUGGUUCUGCGGGUGGGUUUGGAGGUCUUCGGGGAGCAAUGUCGAGCGCUAGGAGAGAGAGAGAGAGAGAGAGAGAGAGAGAGAGAGAUAUGGUGAAAGUGGUGGGAUGUUCGGUUCUAGGAGAAAGGGAAGAGAGAGAGAGAGAGAGAGAGAGAGAGAGAGAGAAAAGUGAGUUGGGAUUGGGAUUCUCUCUCUUGCUUUUUUUCUCUGUUAAUGGACGCUAGAGAGUGUCUCCUAUUUAAUUCCCUCACUAGCUUGCACGAAUCUCAAAAGACAUCUAUCGGCUAAAAAUACUAUAGCACAGGAACUUCUAUACUAUGGAUAGUAUAGAAGCUCAANUAGUCAUUAACCAAAUCUAUCUAUUACAAUUGAAAAUAGGGCAGAAAGUUUCUCUUCCAUAAACAGUUCUAUUAAAAAUCCAAAUAAUUAGUAGUUAAUUGGUUGAUUCUAAGUGAGGUUGUGAUUUAUAUAUAAUUGUGGAAAUAGUACUUUUAAGUUGCUCUGUUAUUUCAACUCAAUAUGAAAAGAUUAAAGGGAACUUCUAAUACCCACAAUGCAUUGCCAGUUUUUCACUUUAGUAUCUUAUGAUUUUAACUAUAUCAUUUAAUUAGUAUUCUGUGUUUUUUAUUUUUAUUUUUUAUUACACCCUCCAUUAACUUCUCCUUUAAACUAAUCAACCUGCAAAGGCCAACGAAAAGGCAUAGGACUACUUAAAUUUUAAACCUCAUCAUCCUUGGUGAGUCCGCAGCGACGAAAAAGCGAUGAUCCAUCAUGUACAUGUGUGGCACGUGACUAUUUUAGCAAAGAAAUUAAAGAAGGGUGUGAUAGAAAAUGAAAAUAGAAAUCAUAGGAUACUUAAGUUGAUAUAGUUAAAAUCAAAGAUACUAAAGUAAAAAGGCGGUAAGCUACAUACAGGGUAACUGAAGGUUUUUCAAAGAUUAAUCUAUACAUAUAGAUGAUAUGUCUAUAAUUAUUAAUUAAUUUUACAUUUACAUGAUUAGUAAUUCAUUCAAUGAUUUCAAUACUUGGUAAUAUGUGAGAUCAUUAUAAAAAAAUUAUAGAUGUGUAAUGAUAGCAUGUUUUUUAUUUAAAUUAAUAAUUUUACCGAAACAUAUUUUAACAUACGUAAUAACUUAGUAGCACUUCACUACCUUAUCAAGACAAACUAACCUAAUGCAUAUAUAGUUAGAAAUAUUGUUAUAUAGGGCUUUAUAUUUUACUAUAAAAUAAAUAUAAAAUAUAAUAAAAUUUUAUUAGUGAGUUAGUAUUGGAUAUAUAAUAGUUUGUUUUAUUUAAUCCUUUGAAUUUUACAUAUGAUGCCUGAUAAGAUAUAAAUAAUAGAGAAAAGUUCAACUAAAUUACUUUUGAUUUAUACAUGCAUUUGGUCAUUUUAUGAUUUGUAAAUUUGCACUUUAUAACUUUGUGGUUUGAGCUAGGCUACUAUACCUUCGAAAGCACGGAGGUUUCCAUACUUUCAAGUUGUUUUCAAUAAUAAGACAUCCGAUUUAGCAAUCAACUUCAUUUGACAUAUUGUAACGCCCCAAUAGUCUCACAUCGGAUGGGAUACUGAUUCUGAUCAAUUUAUAUAAGACCUACUACAACAAAAUUAAGUUUUAAGUGAUUAUCUUUUAAAUUACUGGCAAUUAUAAUUGCCGCUAAAUGAUUCCGAGACAAUUAUGAUAAUUGUCGCUAUUGGUAGGGUUGGUAAAAAUUAUUUUGGCAUUUGUUCCGGCGGUUGGUAAAAAUCUAAAUAAAUGCCGCUAAAUACUACCCAACAACAACUAUUAUAAAUGCCGCUAUAAUUAAUUAUAAUUGUCACAAAACAUAUACUAAAUGAUUAUUCAACAACUAUUAUAAAUGCCGCUAUAAUUAAAUAUAAUUGUCACAAAAAAUAUAUGUCACACCCCGGGGCCGAUUUAAAUGCCAUUACCAUUUUUAAAACUCAGAGUCGCAGAAGAUGUACCCCUUUUUUUUUUUUUCAACCUGGCCCACGUGACGUACAAACCCGCCACAAAUACAAAGUUCCUCUGUCCACUCGGACAGAGUCUCAUUUGUAUUUGCACGGCGAACCAACGAUACAACAGGAUCUCAACUACAAUCUACAAUUACCAAUCAACAACCAAUUUAUGAUAUGCAUUUUCCUACAGCUAACAAUCCUUAGAGACGAUGGAUACCGCAAGCACUCCUUAGGCGCUGGAUGAUGCAAUGCACAGUACAACAAUCAUCCUAUUUAAAGUGCUCUCCACACGGAAGCUUUUAUUUUUGAACUCUAAUUCAUUCAUCAUGAAAAAUCAUUCAAAAACCUUUUUAAAACUGUUUCCCACACGGAAACUCUAUUUUGAAAAUCAACUAUCUCGAGGGGUAGAAAACCACGAUAUGUAAAUACAAGAAAAUCCGAUAUCCAUAAAAUCAACAUCCAAAUCCACAAACCUCAGUUCACAUGCAUAAAUAACGAAAGCAUUCACAGAUCUACCAAAACCAGAUCACCAACAUUCAAACAAUCAUAAAGAUCAGCUAACUGAACCAUUAUUUAAAUGACUACUAUAGGUGGGAAAGAAAUACAACCAGGGUGGCGAUCGCUAUACCAGACUAGCUAGAUCGUCCUCUCGUCGAGCCCAAAAUCCAACUCCUCGUCUAUGACACCUGGGGGGAAAUGGGGGGUGAGAAACCGCAACCAUGGUUUUCUCAGUGGGUACGACAGAGCCACGAAGGCAAGCCGUAAUCACCGGAAACCAAAGGAGAUAGAUAAACAAAUAUAGAUGCUAAUAUAUGAAAACGAACUACAGUAGCUAUAACAGAUAUGAACAUGAUAUGACGUAAAAGCAACAACAGUAGUAAUAGAAACAGGAUAAUAACUGAGCAGGAAUGAAACUACUACUGUAACCAAAACUCAACUGAUCAGAUGCCUCAAAGGUGAAUAAUCCAAAACCAAACCCAAUCUGAUACUGCUAUAUUGGUCCGCAGACCUCAAGCAUUGCCUGUCACAGAGCAGACACUGCGAGCUUAUUCAUGCGUUACCGACGACCUAUCCGGAUACGUACACCCCUUGGUUGGUGGCCAAACCAACCUGGUGUCUAGAAUACACAGUGCUGUGACUAAAUCAUGCUGAUAUGCUCAAACGAAAACCGGCAAAAAGAGACCGGUGCCAUGGCCGAAGCUAGGUGCAAGGGCGUACAACGCCGAACCACGAUCAACCAGAUCGAAACACAUGACAAGAGAGUCGAUGUGUUGCCUGGACCCAAGGUCCACAGAGAUACAAUAUACGAGUGCAAGCCUGCUCUACAUGUCUAUCCACAACUAUACAAAUGCAAUCAACGGAAUACGAUAAACAAGCGAUAAACAAUCAACUGACAUGUAGAGACUACGAUACUGAUAUGAAAGAACAGAGGAAGGGUGAAACGAUCUCACCGACUACCAGCUCGAAGCACCCACCUGUCACUGUCGCGUCGGAACACUGAGUACGCACAAGUCUACCGGACCUAAGAAGAUCCACCAAGUCAGUAUCCAAACCACUAACCCAAAGCACGAGACUCACAAACCCCCACACAGGAUCCCCGUAAUCGGUUUCCCAAAACCGAUUACCGUAACUCACCGGAAGUCCCGAAAACCACACCGGGACGCCGUCGGGACCCACUUAGUGUCCCGAAACUCACCGACUCGUGUCACGAGUCACCUGCUGCUCCAGAACACUCCGAUUUGGAUGUUUUGGCAGCAAACACAAGAUAACAUCACUACACAAUUAUCGCCGGAUAAUUGUACGAAUCCGGGUUCCCGAAAGUGUCUAUUUCGACACCGGAACCCACCGUCGCUCACCCAUCAUCACCGAACCCACAAUGUGAUGAUGGUGACCAGCCAACAAGGCUUAGCGACUACUCACAGAGCAACCAAACGACGUCGGAAGAAAUCCGAACCGAAACCGCGUUCUUUCGGCGAAUUUCGCUGCAAAACGCAUCGAAAUCGACUCUUCGAUUUCUGCAAAAGCUAACGGAUCAUGGACAAUCAGUCCAAAGGUCAAACACACUCACGUGCACUGCCCACAGUAGCCACAAGGAGCACAAAUGCAUAAAAGACCCUCAAUUUACAUAAAAUCCUAUUAUUUCAUGUAAAUUGAGCGAUCAAGUGGCUCGUUCACGUAAACCGAGGACUCCCAAGGUCCACAGAGACACGUACUGAUAGGUCUCGACGUACCGGAGGCCAUGCUCACGAUCCGGAGCACAACGGCUCGCUGUGGGAAGCGCGGGAGCAACCCGAAGGUUUAGCGAACAGCGCGCAGCCACAGAAAAACGCACCAAACAGGACUAAUCGGACACUGUUGAUCCAAAAUAAGGUGAGCACCGUGAUCAGCACUGACCAGCGGUCACCGUGCUCACCUCCGGAGGCAUCGGAACAGCCUCGGAUCGCCGGCAAAACACGCACAAACACAGAGCCACAGCCAAAAAGGCUGAAACGAAGCGACAUCGCCGAAACAGCGAAACGGGGCCUUCCCGACAGAAACCAAAGUGAGCACAAUGAUCAGAAACUUGCCAGGAUCAUUGUGCUCCCUUCCGUAGAGAUCGGGAAGCCCCGAGAAGCUCGGAACAGUAAACCACCUAACUAAGCCCUAUUUCGGGCUUGGCCGGAGCAAGCUUGCUCCGGCCGGCCUUCGGCGGCACGGCGGCGCGCGCAGCGGUGAGGAACGGGUGCGGGGGAGGUGAAGACUGAGGUGCUCACCUCAGUCGGCGGCAAGGAGCGGCGGCGGCGACGACGGAACCAACCUAGCCCGCACGAGCUAAAGCUCGAGUUCCAGCGAAGCUACGGCCACGGCGGCGGCCGGGGCUCCUCGGGGACGACGACGGCAGGUCCUCAGAGGCCGGAGGAGGAGGAGGAAGACGGCAGGCGACAGCGGCGGCAGCCCGCGGCUCGGGUGCUGCCGCUCGAGCUAGGCUCGGUCUGCAGACCUGGGCGGCGGCGCCCAAGGUUCAGGACGGCCGCGACGAUCCGAAGGGCUGCGACGACCGGCCGGGAAGGUUGGUGGGACACAGGAGAAGGCCGCGGGAGCGACCUCAGGCGGUGGCGGCGCGAGGGCAGCUGCUGGAACUCGACUCGGCCGAGCCUUGUCCUAGGCGGCAAACCAGCCUGGGCGGCAGCGGCGGCGCUAGGCGACGGCAGCGGUCGGCGGGGAUGCUCGCCGGAGCACGGGGCGACACUAGCAGAGGGUCUGGAGGUGGCGGCAGUCUCGGGCUUC